rnacentral:lncRNA from 1 species
UUUUUUUUUUUUUUUUUGGUCCAUCCUUCUUUAUACAUUUUCCAUUUUCAACUGUCGGUGCAUGAUUUGAACCUGAACCUAAUAGGAAAAAAGACUCUAAGAGUCCUCAAAUGAGUGAAUUUCAAAUUUACUAAAAAACCUAACAUGUCAUUUCAUGAAUGUUGAUGUGGUAUGUUUAUUGGUCAAAAAAAAGGUGUGAAAAGGUAAGGAAAAAGACGGGGCAAGCGAUUGUGGCCACAGAUGAUAGGAAAUGUGUCUUGGAUAGGCACGUGUUAAAGGCAUUUUAUAACCUGAAACUGUUCACAGAUGAUAGAAAAUGUGUCUUGGAUAGGCACGUGUAAAGGCAUUUUAUAACCUGAAACUUGAACAGCCGUUGGAUGUUGAAAUUAAGUGGAAGGACCAUAUGAAAAAUUGGGGGGAUUUAAAAGCAUAAAUGGGAAAGGUGAAGCUCAUAAAAUAAUCAACUGCCAAAGGCAGAGUGUCGCAAGCGAAACUAAGGGCAUUGAAAAACUAAGCGAAACUAACCUAACAUGUCAUUUCAAAUCUCUUUUACUUAUUUCUGUCUACAUUAACGAAUCCAUCCUUUUAUGCAUAUAGAUCGAAGAGUUAAAUGCUGAUUGUUGCUUGUCGCUUUCAAUUACUAACAACUACUCCUUAGUUAUCGCCGUUGGUCAAAGUUAAAGAAAAAAAAAAUGACCUUGAUUCAAAAAAACCUGUACGUAUAUUGACAGUUAAUUUGCCAAAAAAACAGUUGUGACCAAAGGCGGACACACGAACAGAGGAGAAAGGGAAAAUGGAAAUCUAAUUAUUAACCCUAAAGUUUGCAGGGGGUAUUCAAUCUUUACCCCUCAUGCUUACCUUAAAUAUAAAUUCCUUUCGUAAUGUAACAACCCUUAGCCAAACAAUGACUUUGGAUUAAAUAUGAAUUUUAAAACCACUCAUUUCAAAUCCAUUCAUCUUAAAUACUUGGACAGCGACCCUCGAUUUUUUGCACCAUUCAGGAAAACCAGACUUAUAAACUGGGUGCUUUGGCAUUUAAAAGUUUAUGAUUAUUUUAUCUACAAUCUCAAUUUUAGUUUCUUGGUGUAUUAUGUUAAUUAUAUUUAUGAUUGCUCAUCUACAAAUUUGAUACCGAUUUGAAAGUCACCACGUUACGUAUAAGAUUACUUAUAUAAUUUCUAAAUUUAAAUUGAAAUCUAUCACGUCAAUUAUGCAACGAUUCAUGUUUUUUGUAGCAUUAUAUUAAAUCCAUCAAAUCACUAAUUUAUUUAUCAAAUAAAAUCAGAGUAAAAUUUCUAAUGAAUAAGUGGGUUACUAUCUCUUUAUGGCUUUGUUCCAUAAAGUACUCCACAGAGAUUCUUUGACCAAAGUAAUUGUGAUUACUUUAGAGUGGGUUGAAUGGGUAAUACCAAUUAUGGGUUGAAUGGGUAAUGCCAUAAAUUACUAUCUAUUUAUGGUUUUCCUCCAUAAAGUACCCAUUUUCCCGUAAACUAAUUUUAUUUUAAAGAAUCGUAAACUACAAGGUAAUCGCAAUUACUUUGCAGAAGCAUUCUUUUUGACAAACUACAAGUAAUCACAACUACUUUAUUACGUUGUAGAAGCAUGCUUUGACUCCACGGAUAAACCCAAGUGUUUUGAAGUUACCAAAGAUUGUUGAUAAAACAAAUUGAAAUGUACCGAAGAACGAGGCCCUUUAGAGGACAGGGGAAGCUCGUCUAGAAAAAUUGGGAACUAUCAGAAAUUUUUUCCUUGCCAACUUGGCCUGGGGAGCUGCUUUCCAGUUGAUGCGAAUUUUUGGGUGCAAACAAGUGUUCAUGAGUAGAGCUGUUAAGCCAAUCGAGUAGUUCGAAAGCUCGUUAGAGCUCGGCUCGUUAAGGCUCGAGCUCGGCUCGUUAAUUUUGGUUAACGAGUCGAGCUCGAGCUCGAAACAUGCUCGUUUAGUUAACGAGCCGAGUAAGCUCGGCUCGUUUGAUACUCGAGUAGCUCGUUAGAACUCGUUAAUGAAGGGCAUAUUUGUCAUUUUAAAAAUUAAAAUUAUAUAAAUUAAAAAUUAUAGGUUUUUAUUAAUGUUAAUUUGCACGAGCUCGAGUUCGAGCUCGUGAAGCUCGACUCGUUUGUGAUAAACGAGUCGAGCUCGAGUCACAUGUACAUUUAACGAGUUGAGUUCGAACACAUUUUAAAACUCGUUUUCUUAACGAGCUCGAGUCAAGCUCGGCUCGAAUUAAACUCGAGUCGAGCUCGGCAGCCAAAUACUCGGCUCGACUCGGCUCGAUUAACAGCUCUAUUCAUGAGUUAUUGAGGGGUUUACGUUUUAUUUCUUCUAGAAAUACAAUGGGACCCAUAAACAACCGCUUCUAUCUUAUAUCUAGUAGCUCAUUUAAUAGCUACAUCGUGCCCGGCCCCAUCUUGGCCAAAUUUCCUUUUGCUCUUCCCACCAUGCACAGUUGAGUCAGCUUUCUACCGUAGAUGAAACCCUUAAAUAUUAUAAAACUUACAAGAUUAGGACAGUUUCAUAAUUCAAUUAAUUACUUAAAUUUAAAAAAAUCAAAUCUUAAUAUAUUCAAUUUAUUUGAUAAUUAAAAAUUAAAUAUCUGAAUUAAUUAAAUGACACUAAAUUUUCUAGAUAAAAUUUACUUUCAAAAUUAAGUGAUAAACUAUUCACUUAUAAUUGGAUGUGAUAUACAUUCAAAUAUAUUAUAUAAUUUAUAAUAUACUCAAUUUUCAUACUUCAAUUUUAUCAAACACAUUCUAGAUUUAUCUAAUUAUUCAAAAUUUUCAUACUUCAAUUUUAUCAUUUAAUAAAUUCAAACUUCAAUUUUUAUAUUUCAAUUUUAUCAAACACAUCGUAAAUUUAUCUAACUAUUCUUUUCUACUCCAGUUCAUUCAUUUUUUUUCACUAGGGAGCGGGCAAAGAAGAGAAAGGGUAAAAAAAAAAAAAAUACUUGUUGACCUGCUAAUUCGUAGAACCCACCCCAAUUAUUUUCGAAAAAUAAUAUAAUUCGCAUUUUUUGACCUUGGCAUAGGAGGGUCGACCACUCACUACUACAGGACCGAGCUAAGGUUAGAGGCUCGAGGACUCGUGAAUACUCGAUCUGUCCUGUAUAUUUCUUUAAUUUUAUACCUACACAUAGAGACAACUAAUUGUGAAAGUCUUUAAUUAUUUUACAAGAUUUAUUUGUAGAAGGCAUGACCUUUUUUUUUUCUUGGAUGAAGCUUAGUUGAUUUAAAAUUUAUUAAAAAGGGUAAUACACAUCACAUUUAGGUUUUGGUUGAAAUUCUUAUAUUAUCGAAUUCAUUACGCCUGAUGUUUAAACUUCAUAUUUGGCUCAUAAAUAUUUGACUAAGAAUAUUGAAAUUGAGGAACAAUUUUAACUCUUUAUCGAGUUGUAAUGGAGAUUGUAUAAUGAACUGUGAUUUAAUUUUAUUAGUUUUAGACGCUUCUUGUUUUCUUAAAAAAAUACAGGCACGAUUUUUUAAAAAAAAAAAACACUAAAAUCUGUGUUGAUUGUUAAAUGAAUACAAGAUGAAAUUGAUAAUUAUGUUUUUUAAAAAAAAAAAAUUAAAUGAUGGCCCCGGCCACCUAUAAGAAGCCAACCUGCCUCCAGAUAUUGUUGGGAAAGUUAACUGGCAAUUCUUAGUACUUACCACAUCGGUGAAAAAAAUAAUACUAAUAGUAGUAAAAAAGAAAUUUAGUGCAAAGAAAGAGAAGUCGGAAAUGGCGAUCGGAACCGAAGUGAGCGUGGGUGUCAUAGUCGCCGGCUCCUCCCUCGCCAAUUGCAGAACCACUUUAUCCUUGGUUCAGUUCCACCUUCCACUACUCCGACCACGCCUGCCGUCGGCUGGGCCCUUACACGUUUACCUCCCUCUAGCUCACGUUUCCAAUCUUAUCAAGUCUGGUUAUUGCAUUCAAACUUCUCAGGGGAAAAAUAACUAUACUCGUUCGUGUAAGCAACGCGCUUUUUUCGGAGACGGCGGCUUGGAGCUGCACGAUGCCGGGGCCACGGCUUUGGUUGUCGCCGGAGCUUACACUCUCGUCUCGACUUUUGAUAAACUCACCUCCGCAAAUCUCAUCCAACAGGUUUCUUUUCUUUUUUGUGGUCAAGGAAAAUAAUUGCGAGUAUAUAUUUUUUUUGUUUAUGUCUUCGUAGUUAUUCUGUACACAGUUUGUUUGUUGUUUGUACGCUGGGAAAAAAAAAUCAAAUUUUGGAUAACGACGAUAACAAACUUGUCAUUACAAAGUUUUAGUACGAGCAAAUUACCCGAAAAGCCAUUAAGCUUUUUAAAUAAUUGAGUUUUGAUCACUCAGUCUUUACGAAUAUGUAUUUAUCCAUUAACCUAUUAGAAGUGUGAAUAUUGAAUCACUCCGUAUAUUUGUAUUUUUACCGUUAAGUCCUAGAUCUGGUAGACGGUGAAGAUGUAAAAAGCCACGGAUUGGAAAGUGCUGGAUCUAAGACUUAACAGUGGUUUCCAUGUACUUUUAAUGGUUUAGUGAGUAAAUACGGACUCUGAAAAAUUGAGUAGUCAAAGCUCUAUUAUUGGAAAAGUUUAAUAACCACCGGGAUGAUUUGCUCUUUUAGUAUUGAUAUCAUCAUAUCAGGCUGUGUGUCCCGUGAACCCAAAAAGGCGCGACAGGAAGUGUAAUUGAGGCAGCGACUGGUUGACCCAGAAGAAUACAUAAAAAGCAGUGAAUGAUCUUUGGGUAAAGGUCACGAACGAUUGAAUGAGGAUGGCUCGAUUAGUCAUCCGAUGCACUUUAGGAGGCUAAAAUGAGUGCUGGAUAGCUUUUGCAAUUUCACCUGGCUAAGAAAAUGGUGGAACCUACUCCUCCAAGUUUUGAAUAAUAAUAAGUAGACACGAUAGAUGAUGAUCACAGUUUUGUUCUUUCAAAUGUUGCCUAUUUUCAUCAGAAAUUAUGUAAAACUAUUGUUGGUUUUAAUUGAAUUGCAGGAGUAUAGAAGUUGACUGCUCAGAGGUCGACUACCAUUGAUGACAGAUUUUCUUCUUCCUGUAAUUUCUUCUUAUUCCCGUGAGAAAACACGUGAAAGAAACAAUUUAGAUCCGAGAUAACCACAACGAGGGCCAUAAUUAUCGCUCUAUUCAGAAAUUAAAGACAAAAAAGUACAAGGAAGCAACGGAUCACGAACUCAAAAUCUUCGGGAACAUAAUGCUGUGUCAGAGUCACAACAAACUCAAAACACAUUGCUUAUUGUAUAUCUACAAGGACAAAUCAGUUUACAAAUGUGAGGCAAAAACCAUCUUAUGAGGCCUCGUCUUCAAAAUUUUCCCCUGAAGGCUAGUAGAGCAGCAAAUGUAGAACUGAAAUUGAUCAGAAGCGGGCACAUAGGGAAAACUGAAAGAACAGGGAGAAGAUCGUGGUUUCUUGAAGAAGGAAGGGAAAGAGAGAUGAUUUGAGGUUUGUUGAAGGAAGAGGUGUGGGGAUGACUUUUGUGGUGAAGGGAAAUUUUAUGUUUUAGGAAACUCAAUAGCUACUGAGGGAGUGUAUAUGAGCAUUAGUUUAUUUGAAUAAAAGGCAUUCCUGCAUUAUUGGCCACAAUCAUCGGAGUCAAGAACGUGUCUUAUUUCUUCCAUUAGACAUGGGGCAGUUUGGAUAAUGGUUUAUUUAAUCUCCAACUGUUUAUUGUAAUACUCGAAAUUACUUGCAGACUUCAUAUAAUGAAAUGAAAGAAUAUGAACUGCAUUUGUUUCACUUAGUUUGCCGGUUUUAUGUUGUUUCCAUCUUUCUGACAGAAUUUGAGCCGAAAACUGGUCCACAUACUGUCUGGAUUGCUCUUCAUGGCUUCCUGGCCAAUGUUCAGGUUCUGACAUUCCUCACAAUACUAAUUACAUUAUAUAAUGUUCUCCACAGUCAACUCCUGUUAUUGUUGAAUACUUCUGCUGAUUAUUUACAUCUUAGAUUAGCACAUCCACAGGAGCUCGAUACUUUGCUUCGCUGGUGCCCCUCAUAAACUGCUUAAGGCUUGUUGUCUAUGGCCUUUCAUUGGCUAAAGAUGAGGGACUCGUAAACUCUGUCACUCGAGAGGGGAAGCCUGAGUAAUCUUGCAGCCUUAUAUCCUUAUUCCUUCUGAGACACAUUACGAGUAAAUAAUCAGACUGGAUUUGCAUAUUUCUAUUUUCCAUGCAGGGAAUUGCUUCGAGGUCCCCUUUAUUAUGUUAUGAUACUAAUUUUAAGUGCAAUAUUUUUCUGGCGUGACUCUCCCGUCGGAGUGGUUUCAGUGUCAAUGAUGUGUGGUGGGGAUGGUAUGAGCCAAACCUAUAUCUAAUCUAGAUCCUCAGUACUUCUGGUGUCUUCCAUCUGACAAUGUGAUUUGUAGGCAUUGCUGAUAUCAUGGGAAGGAGAUUUGGAUCCUUAAAACUACCUUACAAUCAACAGAAGAGUUGGGCUGGUAGCCUCUCCAUGUUUGUACUUGGUUUCUUGAUUUCUAUUGGGUGAGUUGAAGCAUAUCUUUUGGUAAUGUGGAUUUGCAUUGCAAGCUAUCUUGCAUUUAUGGUUUUGACUGAUGACUUUCUAUUCCCUUGUCUUUGUAGGAUGCUGUACUACUUUUCAGCCCUUGGAUGCUUUCAGUUGGAUUGGAGCUGCACGAUACAAAGAGUUGCCUUGGUAUCCUUGGUAGCAACACUGGUGGAGUCCCUCCCAACUACAGGAAUAGUAGAUGAUAAUAUCUCUGUUCCUAUAGCAAGCAUGGUAACUGCGUUUUUGAGUUUUGGUUACUAGCUGGUCAGAGAGAAUACCGUGUUACAUGCGUGUCAUAAUUUUUCUGUUGGCACUUCAAAUACUUCCCUUUUCAAUAUUUCCUGUUUCGUUUUUUUACUUUCUGGUGCAUAUUUUUCUUAUGUUUUAACCUCCAAAUUUCCUUAGCUCAUUGUAUUUGGGAACAAUAAAGAAGAAAAGGAGUAAUGGUUGGUACCUCCUUAUUUGAAGGUUGCUAUGCUGAAAGCUAAGCAAGGUGCGUCCAAUAUCGCAACAAUCAUAACAUUGGAUUAACGGAAUCAAACAAAGCACUUGCUUCACUCUUCUAUUUGAUACUGGAUGCUAAGAUAGUAUCGCAGUAUGCACAAUCUAGUAAGCCGUUUGGAUUGCAAGUUUUCGGGGGGGUUUUUGUUUAAAAAAAAAAUACUGUAAUAAUGUGAUGUAAGUGAGGCAAAAAGGUGAUUGAAAAUUUUUGGCAAUCCAAACGAGGCAUUAUAUUAGGAUCUUGAGGGUACAUUGCUCCUGGGGUAAUUACGUGCUUCUAGCGUUCUUGCCGAGAAAAACUCUCGACUCCAGAUUUGUGCCUACUGGUGGGACUGGAGGCCAAAAACACGAAGAAAACAACAAAUGGAUGAAACAAGUUUAGACCGAUCAAAUUUCAUUGAGUAACUGGUCACCUGGGCAAGAAAUAAAACCAAUUGGAGUCAUUUUAAAAUCUGAUGGAUGGACUCCAAGCACACCUAUUUCAAUUUUGUUCAUGUGUUUUCAUGUAUGGAUGAACUCCAAUUAUCGUCCAUCUGUUUUCAUGCAAUAAAAUUGGCAAUUUAAUUGCAAACUUGUGACUUCUUUAGAAAUUUUUUUUUUCGCUAACAUUAGUACUUCAAGUAGCCCUUUAUUUUUUGGAGAACAAAUCCUUGAGUCAAGACUUAAGAGGACUGGUAGAAAUGAGAAGGCAGGCGGGGCCUAGCAAUCGCCACCAGGGGAUUGGCCUUGGGCAUGGUCAUGCCAUAAACCUCACUGGUAUCAAUGUCUUGAGGUCUCAAUCCAUCAGCUGGCCUCCAAUCGAAGCAAUGAAACAGCCGAGCCAAUGCCAUUAGCACCAGCGUCACCCCCAGCGGCGCGCCGGGGCACUUCCUUUUCCCAGCACUAAAGGGCAAUAUCUUGAAGUCGGAUCCGUGGCUUAUUUCCACUCGGCUCCCAUCUCCUGUUAAAUGCCUCUCCGGCCUGAAUUCUUCCACAUCGUCCCAUAUCUUGGUGUUCCGUCCUAGGCCGUGCGUGUUGAUGAAAACCCGUGUCUUGGCAGGGAUGUGGUAUCCAUUGAUCGUGGUGGCUCGAACUGACUCAUGCGGAAUGAGAAAUGGACCGGCCGGGUGCAUUCGAAAAGUUUCACGGACAACGCAUCGUAGGUAAUUUAGGUGGGCUAAAUCAGAUUCUGUGACCAUCCGAUCACGUCCGACUACGGUAUCAAGCUCUUCUUGGAUCUUCUCGAGGACGGUUGGAUGUUUGAUGACUUCUGCCAUUGCCCAUUCAUUGGUGACAGCAGAAGUAUCGGUAGCAGCAGCUAUCAUAUCCUAAGCAUUCAAAACCGUUUUGACUUAGAAAUCAUGUGCGUGUGUGUGUGUGUAUAUAUAUAAAGAUUGUCAUGGCGGUCAUAUAACUUGAAAGAAUUUGUAGCAGGGAAACAUUUGAUUAAUUUUCAGUGGAUUGCUGAUAAUAUUCAAUUACCAAACCAGAUUUGUAGAAAGAAUGCCUUUACUAUUUGUGCAACGUAAAAAGAGGGUGGCGAUAGUAGAUGUUUGUGAUGGAUGAUCAAAGGAUAUUAGUACUCAACCUGAAUCAGUGCUUUGAUGUCCUUAUCAUCUAGGUGUGCUUCUCCAUCUUCACCUGCCAAAGACAAUAGCACGUCAACAAAGUCAAUCUCUGCCUCAUCUUUUACUCCUCCAGUUUGCAAUUUCUUUCUAUGUUCUUGAAUGAUCUUUGAGUGAAAAUCAUCCACCCUCUUUUCCACUUCCCUCAUUUUCCUCUCACAACCAUAAGGGUCUAUCCACCUCCAAAACGGCAGAUAAUCUCCCAAAUAAAUCAAGCCCAAGAGCCAAAACAAUUCGUGCGUUAUGUGCAUGAACUCCAUUGCCUCUUGUGGUCCAGCUGAUUCUUCCCCAAAAUAUUGCUUUCCGAGCAGCAUUCUAGUCACGUUAUUCAUGGAAAAAGCACCCAGAACUUCCCUCAGAUUUAUUGGUUCUUCCUUGCGGGCCUUGCUCCAAACAUCUUCAACUAGAUGCUGAGCUUCAUCGGCCCGAUGCCUUGAAAAUGACUCGAGUCUUUUUGUUGUCAGUAGAUGUUCCAUGCAAAUCCUCCUCAUUCUCUUCCAUUUCGGGCCUAGCGGAGCCAAUGCCACGUCUCCACAGCCAUAGGCCAGGUGAACAGCUGCAAGAGUCCUCGGCCGAGAGGCGAAUACAUCGUCCUGAUGGACAAGGAUUUCGCGUAUAAUAUCGGGAUCGUUGGUGGUGAUGGCAUCAAUGCUCCCUAGUCGAAGGUACACUAGAGGUCCGUAUUUCUGACACAAAGAAGCCAAGUCCCUAUGUGGUAAUUGACUCAACUGAAGAAGGUUGCCGAUAAUCGGCCAACCGGGAGGGCCUGGUGGAAGCCUUCUAGAAUUGUUUGAUAUUCUGAACCAAGACUGAAAUACAUAUGCAAGAAAAUGUAGGCACAGAAUAAUGUAAAUUAAGGUGAUUAGAUCCAUCGGUGUUCUCAGGGAAGGUACCUCAAGGGGCAAUUUCCCAGAAGUUGAAUAAGUACGAGUGGUACAUGAUGUAAGGUUUAAUGAGACAAAAUGAAGUUAAAAGCGUUGUUGGUUUCUACAUGUUCUUUCUGCCUGAUGAGGCAUGUUGAUAUUAGGAAGAUGACACAGGCGGAUUAGUUAGACCAUCACAUUGGCAUGGCCUGAUCAUUUCUUGGUAUUUAAUUGAAUGACGAGGCAAAUUAACGAGUUAAAAAUCAAGUUUUCGUAAUGUUUACUCCUAAUUCGGAAGCAAUAACAUUUGCAUGGUUCCUUAACCGCUUAGAUAUAGGUAGUUUUCUUGCAGGAAUAAGAAGUUUGGACUGUCAUACAAGUUUCUUUUCCCACGUUCACAGCGUAUAGAUUAUAGACAUGAACUCUUCUGACAGAAUUACAUAUAGCGCACAUUUUGCUUAAAAGCAGCUGGGCUUUCGCUUCCUCUUCUAUCUCUGCUCACCUAAGUCGAUCAACUUUUGAGGGUUCCUCAGCCAGAUGCUGGGAAGAGAAGAAAUCCUAAAGGGCAGCAACUGGAUGGGACAGGCCAAAAAAGGAAGAAAAAACAUUUCAAAGAACGAUAUGUAAAGUUGGGCCGAUGGGAUGGGAGGUCAAGAAUUCAAGCACAAUCUCUUUGAUCAUGAUAAAUGGACCAUCUACAUGUUCUAUUUCGCCAGUCCAACUUAAGUAAUUUUCUUUGUUACUUUGAAGCCUUUUCCAAGCAUUGAAAAGUUUUGUGCUUAGUGAAAAUUUAAUUAAACAUUUGUAAAUCCAAAAAUAAAAUGGACAUUUUGGAUUUUGGACUAAUCCUUGUAACAUUUAGCCUGUUAACUGGUUAAGACCUCGUUUGAAAUUGCGGUGAUUUAUAAAGAAACACUUCUGACACAAGUAUUUUUAACAAAAGUACUUUUAAAUUACUAAACACUGAACAAUUGAAGUUACAAAAAAUUAGUUAUGAAACACUUUAAAAAUACUUUUAAUACUUAAAAGUGCUUUUUUUUUUCUUUUUUCUUUUUUAAAUGCACCGCAAACUCAAACAACAUGGCCUAAGACUUAAGACACCCAAGACCGACCAAGCCAAAAUUCAAUUAAUUACUACUAGAGAGUUACACAGUUCUGAAACUUUGUUGGAUCCCAAAGCAAUAAGAUGAAAAAAGUGGGGCCGUAAACGAAUGUUGACGAUCGUGUCUCCUGAUCAGCACGUGCGAUUGGCAUUUUCGAGAAUCUCAGAAAAGGGGUGACCCCUUUUUGGCCUUUUCUCCGCCACGUAUAAAAACCCCAAAAUAUCACUUACUUUGUCAAAAAAAAAAAAAAACCAUUACUGGUUGCUCAUCAAAACUAGCUCUCCUUCAUCAGAAACUAGAAUCUCCAUCUCACUUCACUGUACUGGAAUUCUGGAAAGUGAACUCUACUAGACAUGAACUGUCUCCAGAAUCUUCUAAGGUUCCACUUCAUUUCCACGCUUUCUUUCAGUUCAUAAUUAUUUCGUAAUUCCGGUCUGAUCAAUUCUCACUCGUUUGAGAUUUUUUUUUAUUUCGUUAAUUUUUGGGCAGAUUUUCUGCUUUGCCUUUGCAAAGCUUUAAUAGAGGUCAUACCGGAAAAUCUUCGUGCUCAGUUAGCAUCACUGUAAGAUUAGUCUGCCACUAACGAAGCAAGUAGGAAUAUAUAGAAAUUUAGAUUGAUAUAUGUACAGUUGCAUUCUCAGUUUGAAUUUAUUGCUUUCUUGUGUGCAGAUGGUGCCGACAGCUCCGCAGUUUCGGCAUAAUAUUGUGGGAAAGGUAAUUUUUGAAUGAGCAGAUUAAAGAAUUGUGCGGUUUGUUUGUUGGUGAUUAAGCUCAAGUAAUUGUAAACUUUUAAAUGUAGAUCAUGUAAUUUAGAUUCAUUCGUGUAUAAAUUAGAGUAUGGAUUUCGACGUGUAUUAUUGUAUCCUCUUCAGUCAUAGGAAGGACUGUAUGUUAAAUUGUAGAUUCUUCUUUGCAAACGUAAAAGAAACUUUUCUUGAGCUGAAAAUGUUCCUAUGAAUCUUGCCUUUAUAGUUAACAUCUGGUUUUUCACUUCUUUUUUCUGCCACUGGUGUGGAUGAACGGAAGUGGCACUGGGUAUUUGUUGUUUCAGCAAUUACAUCUAAGUUGUGUUCAGCGUACUUUUGCACCUUUUUUAAGUUCGCGAAAUUUGACAUGUUCAUCUGCUACUUAUAAUUCUUAGUUGUGGUUUCAGUUUUAAGUUUUCUUUGGUGCCUCUCCAUUCUAUAAUGUGACCUACCUUGAAUUUUUAUUUUUCUUAAUCUUUCCAGUAAAAAAAAAAAAGAAAUUUUUUGUGUCAUAUACUCAUUACUUGGAGUAACUUUGACACGGUUUUGUGGCCUCAUUAAAUACUGUGCUUGAUAAGCUCUAUACCCUGCCCUUAUUGUACUGAAAUUGGGGAUAAUGUGCUUUAAGUUUCAUUAUGUACCAAGUUAAACUACCAGAAGAUCGUCCCUCUCAAUGAGAUUUCAUUUAAAGGAUAUGUACUAAUUGAGCAAAAUACCACCUUCCAUGUUAAGUCCUACUAGGUGGUCAAUAAUGAAGAAUACCUUAAUGAGCAAUUUAUUAGCUGUGCAUGUGUGAAAUUACAGCUUCCUGGAUACUUUAAUGAACUACUUUUCUUCUUUUUCACUAUUUCUUGGCUUUAUGAUGGGUACUUUAAUGACAAUAGUCUGUUACUUAUUUUAAGGCUAUAUCUGGUUCUACAUCUAGUGCUGAGAUGGAUGGUGCUAAAGUGGACGAGGAAAAAUCUGAUGUAUAUACCCACAACAUGACCAAGGCCAUGGGCGCCGGUAAUCUCAGUUUUCAUGUGAUUUAUGUGAUCUGACUUUAGUAAACUGAAUGGAAAACAUUAUAUAGGAGGGUGCUUUGGAGGUGAUCUGUGUUUAAAGAUGAUAAUAGAAAAGAUUUAUUUGCAAUUUCCUUCUUACUGUGAGAAUUGUCAAAGGUUUACUGAAACUACACAAACUGGCACUUCAUUGUUGUUCUGUUAGCAGUUGCAUUCUUUAACAAUGAAAAGACAACUAUACUUUCUUUCCCAGUCUAUCUGUUGUAAACUUAAGCAAUGUGAGUGGCCACAGAUUUUGGUCUAUCCGAUUCACUUUGUCAGGCUUAUUUUGCCUUUCUUCCAUAUUAUUGUUUUCUCUGGGAUCAACAGUUUUGUCUUACUUUGUUAAAAUGUUUAUGUCAAUACAGUCUUGACUUACAGACAUGAACUAGGAAUGAACUACAAUUUCAUUCGUCCAGAUUUGAUUGUGGGGUCAUGCCUGCAGGUGAUAAGGACUUCUUUGCAGCUUUUAGUUAUCUCGUGUAUUAUUGUUUUAACUCUUGUUUCUGCUCAAUAAAAUUCAGUCUCCUGAAGAUGUUGACAAGCUUCGCAGCAUAGGGGUCAAAACGAUUUUUUGUUUGCAACAAGACCCUGAUCUUGAGUAUCCUCAAAAGUGGUUCAUAUAUCUAAUUUGUCCUGUAUCAAUGAAGAGCUUAGUUAUUUUCAUAACACAUGGGUUUAUAUGCUACAUAAAAUGUUAAAUCAAAUUCCAAACAUCUUCUCAGUGAGAUGUUCUGUUUGACGCCUUAAUCAGUACACUUAAGAUAUUUUGGGGUCGAUAUUAAAGCCAUUCGCGAGUAUGCUAGCUCAUGUGUUGACAUUGAACACUUGCGAGCUCAAAUAAGGUAGGUAAAGAAAAAAGGUUACAGAUUGUUCUCAAAAUGGUACUUUCUUGCUUGGAGGUUAUUCACUUUUCUCUAGGACUUUCUAAAUACUUGUUCAAGAAUUUUUUUUGCUCCAUGAUAAGGAACUUUCAGAUAUUUGUUGCAUUAUUUUCUUAGCAAGUAGAAGAAAGAUAUUGUUUAAUAUGCAAGCAAAGUAGCUUACUAAAGCUUAGGAAGCUCACAGUAUUAUUUCGCCCUUCUCUGGCUGGUUAUAAGAAAUCUUUCAUAAGGAAAAAACUUGCUUUUUUGCAUUUUGGUGAACUGGCUUACUUCUAUCAAUUAUAUCUAUCUAUCAUGUUCCAUUUUCUGUCAUAUCAAAUAGCAACUUAUUGGCCAGUAUGGAGAGUAUAUAUGUGUAGAGCAGAGAGAGUCUGGCCACACAUAAAAGUUUCUCUGGAGUGUGGUCUUCUGAUACACUCUUUUACUCUGUCAAGUAGAAACAACAAAAGAAAAACCAUUUCCAUCCUGUAAAUAUGUUCAGGAGUUUUCACUAUGUGUGGUCUAGGUUCAUGGGAGGUUUUGCAAGGCUGGGCUGGGAAAUUUGUCAAGUUCCUUUAAGAAUUUGAACAAAACUAGAUAAAGGGUGUGAAGUAUAUAGAAAGCACUAUCUCAUCCAAGAUGUCUCAAAGUGAGGAGUAGUGUUAGAAGUGUAUUCUAGGUAUCUAGGUGUUCAUACAUCUUAAGAGAAUAUAUAGUGUAUAAUAUGCCACUUUCAUGGUUUGUUACUGCAAAUAGAACAUUCCUACACUAGAUAUCAUGAUAUAAUGAAUAGCAGGGAUUUUGAUGGGUUUGAUUUACGGAUGCGGCUUCCAGCAGUGGUGAGCAAAUUACACAAGGCCAUUAAUUCUAAUGGCGGUGUAACUUAUAUACAUUGCACAGCUGGGAUGGGAAGAGCUCCUGCAGUCGCUGUAAGUCUGCUUAUUUAGAAAAUUACGCUAGUUUGUUGUGUCAAAAUGGCGUAAAAUUUUGGGUGCUAAAAUCCAUGUUUUUGUGUCUAAAUUUCAUAGUGACUUUUUCAGCCUGUCAUUUCUACCAUAUGCUAGAUGAUAGCGUAGAAGACUACAGCUAUAGAAAAUAUUGCAUAUAGUUCUAGCUUCAGGUAAGAAGUUAUUUGUCACAGGCUGGGUGGCUGCUGGCAUUGUUCUAACAAAUGUUUUUGCUCAUAUUUUGAACUUUUUGGUGUUAUUAUCAAUCACAAACUGGUUAGAUAGCCUGUAAUGUUUAUUGUUUCUCUUCCCUAACUCUAUAUACAUGCUUGUAAAUAUGUAUGUAUGUAUGUAUGUAUGUGAUGUGAUCUGGGAUUAACUACCCAAUUCCAUAUGCGUUUCUCUUGACAAUAUACAUUAACUAUUUGUGGCCUUGUUUUCCUGUUACCCAGUACUUCUAUACAAAGUGAAUGAUUUGGAUGUUUUGUUUUAUACUCACAAAAUCACCCAUAUAAAUUGCCCCACUUUGUUGAUGUGGAGUGAAAAGAAGAAGGAAAGACAAAUCCAAAACAAGGACUUGAAUCAAAGCCCCAUACAGAAAAUUAAAAUGUUUAAGCCCUUGUUAUUGGUGACACAAAACAACAAAUCUUAUUAGUCCUCUUAACUUUACCCACAUAUCUGGUAACAAACUUUAGGCCUUCCAAAUUCUGAGAAUGAAGCAUGGCUGCAAUUUCCUUGGUUUGGAAGCAACUUUUAGAUGGUUUUGUAAUCUUCUUUUCUAUGUGUUGAUUUCCAGAGUCUAGGCUGUGCCUUCACUUGCAUUAUAUUGAGUUCAUUUUUCUGGGGAUGCAGUACUAGGUUGCUAUCUCACACUAUUCUUUUGUUUCCACCUUAAUUCUGUGGAUCCAGCUGAACUUCCAUUGUAAGUGUUGCGUUUUCUGAUGACAUGACCACUGUUUUUCCUUUGGAUGGCAGCUAGCUUACAUGUUCUGGGUUCAAGGCUAUAAACUUGGCGAAGCCUAUCAAUUGCUCAUGGUAUAUCUUAUUGUUCUAUGAUUAAGGAAAUUCUAAUGAAUAAUGGACCAAUUCUUGUAUGAUAUCAUGAUGACUUCAAAAUAUGGCGAUAUCUUGUAACAGAUUUGUCCAAAUGUUCAUGCCAUGAUGGUAUUUGAACUUCCUAAUGGAUAGGAUAAUUGUGCUAAUUAAGAAUCAUUUCUCAUGUAUAAUGUUGAAUAAUUUGACUUGUAUUUGUGUUUAUGAAAUAGCGUAAUUGGGAUGUAAAAUGGACUAUAGUUUGGGCUCAUCUUAGUGCUGAAAUAGCCCUGUUUCUCUGUAUUGGCAGAAUAAACGCUCUUGCUUCCCAAAGUUGGAUGCUAUCAAAAGUGCAACUGCUGACCUCGUGAGUUGGAUUUUUCCUUCUACACUUGUCAUUCUCAUGUAUGGGUGCAAUGUGGAAUGAUCAUUUCUACAGUUCUAUAAUUUGUCACAAAAUGGUUAUCACAUUUGUCCAUUUUUUGAAAACUUCAAUUUGCCAGAGUAAUAGCAAUGCUAGUCUUCUUCCAUCUUUAGAAAGGACUGAGUGUCUAGUUAAAACAUCCUGGAAGGAAGAAUAAGUCUAGCAGCUAACCAAUGUCCAUUGAGGAGGUUUACUACUUUAAUUAGUCACUUCAGUAUGCCAUAUAGUAGUGGAGUUCAUUGAAUCUUAUGUCUUUUCACAACAAGAAAAGCAUUAGGCAAGUUGCUGUAACAUGUUGGUGUUCUAACUUCGUGAUAUACUGCUGCUUAUUGGGAGAAAUCGGGGCAAGUCAGGAGUUGUGACAGAAGACUGUUGAAGUCAAAACAGAGAAAUUUUAUCACUUUGCCAGAACAAUAUCUGAAACAUGGGAUGAAUAUACUUUUAAGAGUUGCUUAUUGAAUCUUACAUCCAUCCUAGUAGAUAGAUCGCAAAAUUUCUAGUCACUUCUUAUUUUCUUGACGCAUUAUAUUCCUGUUUAAAGCUUACAGGCUUCAAAAAGAAGCUUGUCACACUGAGGUGGUAUAGUAGCAAUUGUUCCACAGUGGAAAUCUCUGGACUUGAUAUUGGAUGGGGUCAGGUAAUGAUUAAAUCUUCAUAUUGUUAUCAUUGUCUCCUGGAAAUGUUGUUGCACCAGAACUCUCUCCUUUUACAUGGACUUAAGUGAAGGAUGUUUAAGAUGAAUAUAUGUCUAGACUUGGAUUCCGAGCAUUGUCAGACUUCUGAAAUACAAGAUAUUGAAUUUUUGUUUUGCCUGAAACUUGUGGUAACUGUGCUGUUUCAGUAUUAAUAUUUUGUGAAUAUCUCUCUCUCUCAAAAAAGGCAAAAAAAAAAAAAAAAAUUUUUUUAGUUAUAUCAUGUUGCAAGCUGUUCCAUUUCUUUGUAUUGAUCUUUUAACCGGAAAUGCAACUUUGAGCUUGGAUGAUCUUGUCCCUUGACCUGAACCAGAGACUCAGAGUGCUAAAAUCCUGAGUACUUAGAACUUUUAUCACGUGCUUCUUGGCAUUCGGGAAUCCUAGUUCACAUACACAACUUAAUGUAUGAAGCUUCAAUUCACUGCAGAGAAUGCCAUUGAAUUUUGACGAGGAACAAGGUUCAUGGAUACUGCAGAGGGAAUUACCAGUAAGUGGAUAGCAUUUAUCUAUCUCGAGUUCUAUAUUGAUUUGCCAUACUUGGGAAUGUGGUUUUUAGCUGUGAAAGGAAUGUAAAAGCACAUCUAAACUGUAAAGGGAUCAGGUCUCUAAUUCUGUCCUCUUGCAGGAAGGACGUUAUGAGUACAAAUACAUUGUUGAUGGUGAAUGGAUGUGCAAUAAGUACGAACUUGUUACUUCUCCCAACAAAGAUGGCCACGUGAACAAUUAUAUCAGAGUAUGGCCUACAACUAUCUCUGAACAAUUUGUUCAUAAAUAGGCACGCAUUGAGUGUUUGUGAUUUUAUGCACUCAACAGUCAGCAAUCGGCAUAGAUAAUAAAGAUUUUGUAACGAUUUGACUUGUGUGGGGAGUCCAGAUUGUUUGAGUAAUCGUAGUAUAAAUGUUAUGAGAACUUAGUUGGGGCUUCCUGCGCUCCCUAUGCCAUUGGAAGAAAUGGAGUUUGUGACCUCAUAAAGGUAGAUAGGAAAAGUAAUUGAGAACCUUAAGAAUUGAAUAGAGUUUGAUAUAAGCAUUAAGAAUCAGAUCAAACUCAUAAUUUGCCGACUCAAUCUGAGCCUCGGCGGGGAUUCACUGAAGGUGCUCUCUCCCUUUUUAUCCAGCAGGCUCGUUUCGACGUGAAUAUUAGGGGUACUGACCGCAUUUUGACUGCCCAGCUUUUGUGCAAUGAUUAUUUUUGUAACUAUUUUAGUGUUUAGUGGAUGAUGAUACGCUUAUGACCAAGACUCCAGCAGAAUGAGUGUUUCAAUUUUUGAAGGGACUGAAAAUUCUUCGAUCCUGGAAUUCUUUCAUGGUCUAGUUAAUCUUCUGUAGCCUCUCAUUUACGACUCUUCUUUCUGCUCUUCAUUUGUGCAGGUUGCAGACAGUAACCCCAAUAGCAUUAGUUCGAGAAUAAGAAAAAGGUUAAGCGGUGAAGACCCCAACCUCACGAAGAACGAAAGAACCAUAAUUAGACAAUUUCUUGAGGCCUGCCCCGAUGAGGAGUGACUUGUACCUGCCAACACAUUUCCUACUUAUGUAAGUGUACCGUAUUCAUUAUUGCAUAAAACAUGGCAAUUAUGUAACGAGCCUCAGUCUUCUAUAGGGACAAAUAGGGGGUCGAGUGGGGGAUAGGAUGUCGGUGAAGAAGGGUAGGGGAAUUUACUUAAACAGGCACUUUGCCUUGUUGUCGGUGACGUUGAUGGAGCUAAAAGUGGAAAUAUCCACUCACCGACAAGACUGGGCCAAUCGAAUGUAAUCCAUUUCUUAAAGUUCCGUGGGUCUUUGUGCCAAUCGAAUGUAAUCUAUGUCCUAAAGCUCCACCGUCUCCGCGUAGUUUCAAGUUCUUCCAACUUCCACUCAGCUUCCCAUUUUGUUCCUAAAGUCAAACGGAUUAGAGGAUUGACUGCUCUGUAUUUUCACAGUGAAUUGUAUCGUAAUCGUAACGGUCAGAUAUUUUCCAAGUACAUAUCUUGGCUGAAGGUCCUGGUUAUGGAACUGUUCUCGAGUCUUGUAUUUGUUGCAUUAGCUGUUUUAUAGUUUGUCCACAAUAGCAAAAGGUCAUGUUGAUGAAAUGCUCUUCGGAAUAAUAGAAUGGUGAUUUUUAAGAUUUUCAAACGCAAUGUAAAUACGUGUUUCUUGAGAUAAUUGCAGUUGAAAUAUGCAAAGUUCUAUAGAAUGAUGAAAGAAAAAUAUGCUCGUGCUCAUCUCAAUAAUGUUGUCAUCAGCUUAUUCACCAAAAGGGAAUCUGUGUAUACUGCUGUCACAGUCUGGACAGACUAGGCAAUUUUUGGAGUUCUAUCGUUCAUAUUAUGACCAAAUUAGCUGUUGGAUUUCUACAUGGGACUUUGUGAGAAGUAUUGUUCAAUUUUUUAAGAAACCAAAUCAAUAUAUGAAUGAUUGACAAGAAAUGAAGUUUUUGUUUCAUCGCAGCCUACAUGGUGAUCAUCAUAGUGGCGAGUCCAUUAAUAGAACAUUAUUAUUAGUGCUUCUUUAAAAUCUAUAAUAAUUUCUUGUUCUUUUGUAUUAAGUACUGAAUAUUGAAGUCGAUAACGUGUAAAACACUCGGCUGUGCCUAUACACGUUUUGGAUAUCAUACAUGCACAUGUAGAAUCAAUAGCGUUUUAAUUCUUCGUCACCAUUAAUAUCAUAAUAUGUGAGCCCCAUGCGUCUCGCUCUCUUUUCCUUGCAGCAUAAAUUGUCAUGUCUUUUUUUUUUUUGGGUGUGUCAAUAAUUUCAUAUGCAUUUAUGGCACAAUUAUUAUGCUGAGGGGAAUAAAAGGAUCGUUUGCAUUUAAUUUGAUGUUGAGGGAUUGUUAUCCACUGCACUGUCUUCAUCAUUUUGCAAACUAAAGGAGUAAUGACCAUAGUUUUAAGCUAUUUUGCUACCAGGUUGUUGCCGGUCACUCUCCAUACCUUAAGAAAUGUAAUUGAUUUUUCAUUUUUUGGACCAAAUAUAGCCUGACCGGCCCUCGUGCUCCUUGGAUGGGACAGACAUCCCUUUCCUUCCCUAUUUUUAUCAAUUUGACAAAAGAAAUAGUACCGAAACGCAAUUUGUAGCUUGAAUAAUUUCAAUGACUCAAAUGGCCCCCCAACGCUGAAAGAAACGAGGCCAUACCGCUUCGCAUCUCAAUAAUCAUUAUUGUAACUCAGUAACGAACACUCCUAUUCUCGUAUGCUGAUCAAAUCAACUGAUUAAGCGCACCCAUUCAAUCACAAUUAAGGCGAUUUUGCCCUUAAAAAACUAAAAUUACGUGAAUCCAAGAAAAGAAAAUAUCAUUUUGUUAUAUUGUUUACGAGAAUUAUACGAUUUAGAGUUUGAAAAUAUCAUGGAAUUGAUCAUUGGAAACAAAACAUUAAGCUAAGUUAAUCUGAAAAAUUGAUCAUUGGUGGACAUAGCUAGACAUGAAAAGAAAACCCCGGACCAAAAGAAAAAAAAAAAAGGAAGGAAAACUACUAGUUAUAUUGUAGGGAUAAUUUUAGAAACCUUCCCUGAGAUUUUUGACAUUUUCACUACUAUCCUCUAAGGUUUUAAAAAUACCACUAACCUCCUUUAAACUAAUUAUCUUAUAUCAAAUUAGCCCAAUUCAAAAAAAAAAAAACAACAAUAAAAAAAAGUUUUCAAGAGUAAGAUUGCAUAUCAAAAGUACCCCUCAACAUAUAACUAGUUGGUUGACUUAUAAUCAAAAGCGAAUAUUAGUUAAAAUAGAAGAUAAAGACUAAAAGUACACUCUGCUUACUUUUUUUUUUUUUUAGAAAAUUUUCUUACACAUAUUUUAAUUAUCUUUUUACUUCGUAUAUAUUACAUCAAUAUAGCAUAUUUUUCUACAAAAAGUCCAAAAAUUUGCAAUCCAAAUAAGACCUAAAGUUAGAGAGUUUCAAUAUAAGUGAAGUAAAUUAUAGCACUAGCAUGAGUAUAGUAAAAUUCGGUAUGGCUACUUUCCAUAGAAUUGCAUAAAAUAGCAAAAUUAAAGAUUUAGAGUGGAAAUUUUGUUAAUUUGGAAUCCAUAUUUACACGUAGAAUUCUAUAUUUUUAGUAUUGGAAUUUGGAACUCUUAGUAUUAGAAUUUAGAAGAUUUAGAACAAGAUUUGGACAAGAAAAACAUGGCCUCUUCAAUAAAAGAAAUAUAAAAACUAUGCUAAAAUGUCAUGUUUUAUGAAUCAUUUCUUUCACUUGUGAGGUCCAUUAUUUCAAAUGAUUAUUAAGAAUUUUCUAUCAUUUGUAAUAAAAAAAAUCUCAGGCAAUGUUUGGGUCAAUAGAGAGGAAAUGAUUUUAAUAGAAAAAUAAGUAAAUUAAAGUAGAGAAAAUCAUUUCUAAUUAUCUUGUUUGGAUUACAUAUACAAAGAGAAUAAAAAAUUAUCAAAUGUUUUGAAAAAGAAAGGCAAGAAUAGAUUACGUGUAGUUAUAUUUUAUUCAUAACUUAAUGAAAUUUAAUUGUAAACAUAAUUUAACAUUUUACCCUCUUUUUUUGUGUGUUUUUGCAUUCAUCUUGUUAUUUUUAUGAAAAUUUUAUGAAAUAAUAAUAUCUCAACAGGAAUUUUAAUAUUUUUGGGAGGAAGAUAUUACAAAAACUACUAAAAUAUAGAAACAAAAUUUAAAAUGUUAACAAUUAUCAUUAUAAAUUUUAGUAUUCAAGAUUUUCAAAUUUAUUACAUUCCAAAUAAUAACAUUUAGUACAAGAGACUUAUAAAAUUUCCAAAUUAUUUCUCUUCAUAUAACUAUAUAAAAUUCCUAUGUCUUAAGGGUAAUAAAGUCUGACUAUCAAUGAGGUAAUUAUUGAGUCUCAAAUAAUUGACAGGAAAGGCAAGUGAUAUUUCUAAAACUUUGAGAGCGAACAAUGAAAUUGUCAAAAAACCUUAGGGAAAGUUUCUGAAAUUAUCUAUAUCCCACAAGUCAUUUUUCUUAUUUUUUUUCUUUCUUGCCAGUUGCUGCACAGCUUUAAAUAGUCAUUUCUUCUCGACGUUGACGUAUAUUGCGUUUACAACUGGAAUUAAUUUGGGCCCAAAAAAUGUAUUUUAUCCGCUUCCCUUUCCAUCCCGUCGACUUCAUUGAUUUUUCUCACCAAAUUAAAUAAACAAAAACCAGAAUCUAAAUGCCAAAAAAAAAAAAUAAAAAAUUCAGAAACAGACUUCCAAACUGGUUCUACUCUAAAAAUCGCAACAGAAGAAAGAACGCGCCGUCACACACCACCCCCGCAGCAACACGCAAUACAAAUUGAAUUCGACUGACAAAUGCAGUGUGAGUAACCAGACAAACAUAAAGGAAGCUCCGAAUUUCUCCUUCCUUAAUCGCACCGAGUCAACUCGAAUAGCUUCACUCAACUCACCACCCAACAUAUGGAACACCUCUCCGAAGACGACAAUGCCGUCACCGGCGUGGGAAAUGGAAGCGGCGGCUUCCGUUCGAUCCGAGACCGUUUCCGCUUCAAACGAAACCCUAACUCUGCUGCCUCUUACCUUCCGUCCACGUCAACCGCGACGACGUCGCCUCUGGAUCGGCAAUACAAGCAAGGCCGAUCUCAUUCUCACCAUCACCACCACCACCACCACCAUUACAAUAGAUCAGCGGCUAGAAAGAUGUUAUUGUUUCCGUUUAGGGAGAGAUCGUGGUUUUAUUUAUGCAUUUUUUUAGUGAUAUUUGUGUUUGCUUUGGCGUCGAUGGUGCUUCAGAGCUCAAUCAUGCCCGUGUUUAGGCAAGGUGGAGGAGGGAGUGAGAGAGGCAAACGGCCGUGGCCUGUUAGAGAUGACUUGAAGUUGGGCAGCUCUUUGCAUUUUGAGCCGCAAAGGAGAUUUCAGCUUCACGACGGGCUUGAUCGGCUGCGGAGUCAGCCGAGAAUUGGGGUUCGACCUCCACGAAUUGGUCUUGUGAGUGAGUUUUUUUGUAUACAUGUUUUUAGUUGUAGGAAUAUUUUGGAUAAUUCUUCUGGAGCUAUUGUAUUUUAAUAGAUGCUCAUUCUGGGAAUGACUAGCUUUCUUAAGAUUGAUUCCGAAGUGUUUUACUUUUUGCGUUGGUUCGAAACUCUUUUUAAGUGAAGCUAUGAACUUUAAGCUGGCUUUGAUAUGCUUAUUGCCAUUAAUAUCAGAAACUUUCAAAAAACCAUUUUCUGCAGAGUUCUAGUUUUCUUGGUGAUAUCAAUGUCUGUUGCUUGAGAUGGACGUCACUGAAUGGGCAACGUGAAAUGGGAAUUGUGCAUGUCCCACUGUACAUCUUUGAAUUGCAAACCAAAGCUUCAGUUGAAAGUCAUUUUAUUAGCCAAGUCUUUGAUAAAAAUUUGUCUUAACAAGUAGUUGAGUCAUACAACUUCAAGUACUGAUACUUUUGGUGGAUAUGAUUGCAGCUUGAGUAUAUGUGUGUUUCUUUUAUAGGAAUGCUGACUGGAAAUUCAAGAAACUUUUGGCCACCUGGCUGAACUGUGUUCACAUAUUUCAGAAAGAAGUCUUGUGCCAAAAGAAACAGGAAAACUGAAAAUUAUUUUGUUAUGACUUAUAACACAUCACUGAGAGUAGAUGGUAAGGAUGCAAACAUGACUAAAACUGUUGAUCUUGUAAGUUCAUGACAGACUUGAGGUGGAACAUAGGAUGAAUUUGGGCAUCAUCUAAUUCAUCUGUUUAUACUAUUUGUUAUGUAUUAAGGUCCAUGUAUCCAUGCUUUUCAUUUAUCAUGAUUUCUUGAAUUUCACAGACUUGAGCUUUGCAUUUUAUAUUUUUCAGAUCUUAGGAAACAUGAACAAGGAUCCUUCAUCAUUGAUGCUAUCUACGGUGAUGAAGAAUUUGAAGGGACUUGGCUAUUUGUUCAAGGUAAUUUUAUAGGAAUUAUAUCUUAAAUCCUUGGUUAGAAGAUGGAUGAAAGUUGGUUAGGUUCGGGCGGACAUGUAAAUGCAUUAUGAAUUUUGGCUUUUUCCUUCCUGAGUAGUUUUAAGUUUAUCACCUUUGACUUUUAGAUGCCAUCAAGGAAAUAGAGCAAGAGUCCUGUUGUUUCCUCAUUAAGUAGAAAAUUAAGAGUUUUUACGAAGCUUUUACAUGGGUUCUACUGGCCAAGUUCUCCCUGCAUUCACAUAUAAUCACUUGUGGGUCAUAGCAACAGUUUAAUUUUCCAAGUGAGUUCCAUCUUAGCAAUUGUGUAAAACUAGCUUCUUAACCAGUUUGUUUAUUGUUUAGGUUUCCUGAAAUAUGUAUUGUCUUAGUUUUUUUAAAAAUAAUUGCUAUAUAAUUUCUCUCCCCUAUCAAGUUCCUGAAAAUAAGAAUCAAAUUUUCUUUGCCUUACUAACAAAUGACGCAAUCAACUAAAGGAAAUUUCAGAGGGCUUCAGUGUCUCUGGCGCAAAUCUCAAGAGAAUUAUGUGAUCAAAGCAAUGAAUUUUACUAUUUGCAUCCUUUGAUAGAACACUUGUUAUAAGUCCUUUGAGGGAUAUUAGUUAGUCAAAGACUAUACAACUGGUCAGUUUGAGGGUUUAGGUGUGGUUUAUAUGGUUUUGGUAUUUAUGACCUGUCCUUCGUCUGUUUUCUGUUAUCCCCUCAAUCCAGUUAGUGAUCAGACUGACUUUUUCUCCACCUAUAAUCUGCUCAAUCCUGGAGAAUCUUUGUCAAUUUGAAUUUGUCUGAUUAAUCAAUAUGUUUUAGUGCAAAUUGUCAUGUGAUUGUGAUAUAAUCUUUUUGGGCCCAAUGCAUGCUUCUUUGCAGAUAUAUGCACUACAAGAUGGUGAUGCUCGAGAAGUUUGGGAGGAAAUAGGAGGUGAAAUCUUGAAUUUAAGUCCUGAAAGACAUGCUCAUAUUGAUUGGUCAAUGUACGUUUUAUUCUUUCAUCUAGUUUACUCAUGAAUCCAAUAGUAAUUCUCUUAAGAUAGUAAGAACUUCUCCAUGAAAUAGUUAGUCAAUUAGUCCUUAAAUUGGUACUAAUAAAUAAAAUUCCUCAUUGCUGCAGUUUUGAAGGUAUAAUAGCAGAGUCUCUUGAAGUGAAGGAUGCCAUUUCAAGGUAUAGACAUUCUUGACAUAUGAAAUUAAUGAACUAAUUUUACUUCUCAUCACUUUCUCAAAAUUUACCAUAUGUUCUCAUUAGAAAAAUUGAUGCAUAAUUGGUUCUUAGUGCUAACCUUGUGCCCGAGUUAUCAAAUGAAAAGAGGAAUCUGUCCCUAAACUUUAGCUUCCAAAAUUGAAUUAAUUAUAAAGAGAUGGUUUCCCUGUAAUUUGAAACAAGUUCCUGUUAUUUGUCUAAUUAUUUAUUUAGUUUGCUCGAUUGGGGAGGGGGGAUAGACCUUAACUAUAGUAAGUGCUACCUUGCUGCCUAGACAUUUUAGCUAGGUUCUAACUUUGCUUUAUAACAAACAAGGUGCUAAAUGAUACAAAUAAAAGGAAAAGGUUUGCAUAAUUAAUUUUUCAGAUACAUAAAUAGCCAUAAGAAGAUGGUAGGGCUACUGCUGUUUGAUUCAUUUUUCUAAUUUUAGUAUUCUCUUAAUCACCGGAUUCUUUUGUACCACUGGAGCCUUCUUCUAUUCACUGCACAGUUGAUUGGAGAAAAAUCAUAGUUGUGUAAUAUUUUGCUUUGUGUUAACGUCCUGUCGAUCUCUUUGGUACUUGUAAACCAUUUUUAUUAUUUUGCAUUAUCAUUUAUCUUUCCACUUUGGAUACUAACCAAAGAAGUGAUUUGUGGAGUGGACUGAAAUUGUGAAGCUUAUUGACCAUUUCUGCAUUUGUCUAUUCCUCGUGGAGAUGUAGUUGGGCAAAAUGUCUCACUUUGUAAUUGUAAGUUUACUAACCCUGAGUAUAAUCCACUAGUCCUUAAGUAAAACUCAGAUUUAGUCCCUUAGGUCUUAAUGAUUUUUUUGACAUUGUCUACAGUCGACAAGUUUUUCAGAAAACAUCAUUAACUUUGUCUAGCUGAUCGUAAAAUGGUAUUCCACUAGGUAUCAAAAUGAAAGCGCUAUAAAAAGGAUAAUGACGAAUUUCAGUUUGUUGAGUGAAAGUAGGAAAUUCUGGUAUGUUAGUGAGAUCAGUAUUCUUUGCUCCUGUGGUGCUUGAAUGUGCAUUCAGAUGAAAAAUGCAAGCAUGGCUUUGGAGGGAUGUUUACCGGUUUAUUCAACAAUAAGCCUUUUGUUUGAGAUGCUGUUUGUGAGUUUUAUAUUUUUGCAGCCUUAUGCAGGAGCCUUUCUGCUCUAUUCCACUCGUUUGGAUAAUUCAAGAGGAUACCCUUGCAAAUCGCCUUCAGAUGUAUGAAAGGAAUCAAUGGAACCAUAUCAUAUCUCACUGGAAGAGUGCUUUUUGCAGGGCUAAUGUUGUUGUCUUUCCUGAUUAUUCUUUGCCGGUAACUUCAUCCUUCUGUUGUUAUUACAUGCAUUACAAAGUCAAUCCAUAGGAAUUAUUUUAGGUUUUCUUAUGCUUACUUAUCAAAUUCUAUAUGAUGUGCUUCUCCUGCUCAAUUAAGAUUAUCUUCCUGUAUCAGAUGUUAUAUAGUGUGCUUGACACUGGAAACUUCUUUGUGAUUCCUGGAUCACCAGUAGAUGUUUGGGCUGCAGAAAGCUACACUAAGACACACUCCAAAUUGGUAUUACGGAAGAAAAAUGGUUUUGAUGAAGAUGAUGUGGUGGUUUUGGUUAUUGGAAGCUCAUUUUUCUUUGCUGAGCUGUCAUGGGAUUAUGCUGUGGCAAUGCAUGAUUUGGAGCCACUCUUACUCAAUUAUGCUGGGAGAGAAGAAGGCAAGGAGACCUUCAAGUUUGUCUUCUUAUGUGGAAACUCCAGCAGUCAGUAUGAUGAUGCUUUGCAGGUAUAAUCAAUUAUCCAAGGUAUAUAGUUCUUUAGGUAUAUCUGUCUGCAUGCAAAUCCAGGCUUUGGGAAAACGUAAUGCAUGUUGUUACAUGGCAAACUCUGUUUGCCGAAGGAUUAUCCUUGAUAUCUUCUAUUGAUAUAUUAUUCAUGGCUCUGGAUAAUAGCGUCUUUAUGAAUUUUUCUUGAUCUGAAAAGUGUUCCACUACAGGAUUAAUUUUUCCCUAUUUGUGUGGAAAUCCCUUUUCCUUGUUUUAUUGAUUUGAUUCUAUUUAAGUGAAAAGUUCUUACAAGGUUUGUCUUGCUUUCCUAACCAGACAAUCCUAAGAUUUAUCAGAACUUCUUAUUUAGCAUUACUACCCCCUCCCCAGGCCAAAACAAGGGAAAAAAGAAGUGGUAGUUAAAGAGCUGUGAGAUCUGAGUUACACCUAUUUGUUUGUAUUUUUUAGGACAUUGCCACUCGUUUGGGACUUUAUGAAGGAUCUCUAAGACAUUUUGGCGUUCAUGGUGAUCCUAAUGGGUUGAUAUUGAUGGCUGACAUUGUACUGUAUGCUUCUCCACAAGAUGAGCAGGGGUUUCCACCAUUACUGACACGAGCAAUGUCCUUUGGAUUGCCUAUUGUUGCAUUAGAAAAUCCUGUCAUAAAGAGACAUGUGGGUUUUACACAUUUAUCUUGUAUAGACAAUUGAGUUCUGUUGUGGAUAUUAUGAUUGUUGCUCUUUACUUCUCUUAUUAAGCUUCUAAAUCUCCAGGUUGGUGAUCAGGUCCAAGGGAUGAUCGUUGCCAAACAUAACCCUGAUGCACUAAUCAAAGCUUUCUCACUUCUGAUAUCGGAAGCAAAAUUACUGAAGCUUGCCCAUUCUAUUGCUUCCUCUGGCAGGCUUCUAGCAAAGAAUAUGCUAGCAUCAGAAUGUGUAAUGAGUUAUGCAAAGUUGCUUGAGAAUAUCCUCAAUUUUCCAUCAGAUGUCUUGCUUCCUGUUAACACUUCUCAGCUUAAGCAGACUUCAUGGGAGUGGAGCUUCUUCCAGGAAGAAAUUGAUAAAAAAGCUGGUGACCUUGCAAAUCCACAUAGCAGAGGUUAUGGAUUAAGUUUGGGUGUUGUAUACAAUAUUGAAGAAGACAUGGCCAAUCUAUUGCCCUUAAAGAAUGUCUCUGGCAAUGAUUUAGAAGCUCUGGACGGGGAUUUUCCUACACAUUUAGAUUGGGAUAUUUUGAGGGAAAUGGAAAGUUCUGAGGAACUGGAGUCUUUGGAAAUGGAGGAGGUAUGACCGUGCUUCUGUUAUGCAUUGCAAAUUUCUUUUUGCCCUGUUUUGUUUUUUCCCAGGUUGUUGGAAUUACUGUUGGGUAGAACAUUAUUGUAAUACUCGCAGAUUGAAGAAAGAAUGGAGAAAGCGAUUGGUGAUUGGGAUGAAUUAUAUCGUAAUGCUCGAAAAUCUGAAAAGCUUAAGUUUGAAAUGAAUGAAAGAGAUGAAGGAGAGCUGGAAAGGACUGGGCAACCUUUGUGCAUCUAUGAGAUUUACCAUGGAGCUGGAGCUUGGCAAUUUCUACAUCAUGGUUCUUUGUACCGUGGGUUGAGUCUUGUAAGUUUUUUUGAUCCAGGAACACUGGCUUAUAUUAAGUCAUCUGUUGCAACAUGAACUAAGAAGAAACUAUCUUUCUAGAGCAAGUUCAGUAAUCUAUUCUAUUACCUCGUCUGUGUUGCUGACACUUGUGUGUUUCUUCUAGUAGAAAUUGCUGGUUUUCUUACUUUGAAUAAUUGUUAUCCUCUUUUUCUAGGCUGUGUUUUGCAUGUAAGUUUUGUAGUUUGUCAGUGCUAAUACUGGUAAAUCUCCCCAGUCUACUCGGGCCAGAAGAUUGAGGUCAGAUGAUGUUGAUGCAGUUGCUCGGCUUCCUGUCCUGAAUGACACAUAUUACCGAGACGUACUUUGUGAGAUUGGAGGCAUGUUUUCAGUUGCGAAUGGUGUUGAUAAUAUCCAUAAGCGACCUUGGAUCGGUUUUCAGUCUUGGCGUGCUGCUGGGAGGAAGGUGUGCCCUAAUUUUUUCAUGUAUUUCAGAGGAAUUGUCUUUCUGGCUAACCUUGCUUCUUUUUUAUUCUAGAUAAUGAAAUAUCAUAUAUUAAAAUUGAGGUUCUAAUGCCUGUAAUGGGAUUGCAAGAUAGUGUUGUCAAAAUAGUUUUCCUUUACCAUUAAUUGUUAUUUUUGUAAUCAAGCAAAAGAAUAUUUUUCAUCUGAAUGUCUUCUGGCCUACAAUAUAUGACAGGCUAGUCUCUCUACAAAAGCUGAGCAGGUUCUGGAAGAAGUAGUACAAAGAAAUACUAAAGGAGAUGUGAUAUACUUUUGGGCGAUGUUGGACAUGGAUGGUGGAUUUAUGGGGAGGAAUGACGUGCUUACUUUUUGGUCCAUGUGUGACAUCUUAAAUGGAGGAAACUGCAGGUUAGAGUGUUUUGGGAGACACAUGACCUACGCUGUUUUUAUAGCUUUUCUUAGUUUUACAUAUCAUUUAAAGACUACAGGCAUCUAAAUUUUUCUCCCCUUUUAAAGAUGCUAAAUUACAUAGAAUAUGAGAGAAUCUUCUCUCUUCAAAUUUGCAUUUUUUUUUACUUAUUAAGCUAGUGUUUGAAGAUUGUGUUGCUAAAUUUUUUUCAUUUGAAUAAUUCAAAUUUGCAGAAGUGCCUUUGAAGAUGCAUUCCGUAUAAUGUAUGCCCUACCGUCACAUGUAGAAGCCCUUCCACCCAUGCCUGAAGAUGGAGGGCGCUGGUCAGCCCUACAUAGCUGGGUCAUGCCAACCUCUUCUUUUCUGGAGUUCAUUAUGUUUUCCAGGUAAUUUCCCUGGAGUAACACAUUGCUUAACCUUUUGGCAAUUUAAUAUCAUGAUUAAGAUGCCACGGCUGAGGUCGUUGUUUGCUUUACCUGCAUUUUGUCAUCUGACUGAAAAUUCCUUUGCAUAUUAGGAUUUUUGUGGAUUCUCUCGAUUAUUUGCGUGUAAAUUCAAGCAACAUGACUUCUUGUUUGUUGGGGUCUUCAGUGUUGGAGGUAAGCAUAGACCAAAAGUUAUCUGUAAUCAAGAAAAUGACAAAAUGAAAGAUUCUGAUGUUGAAAUUGUGACACUUCUACCAGAAGCAGCAUUGUUACUGUCGGGUGAUGGAACUUCUGGUCAACGUAUGGGCAUAUCAUAGUGCACGUAGGAUGGUUUACAUUGAUCCCCACUCAGGUUUGCUGGAGGAACAACAUCCGAUAGAACAACGGAAAGGAUUUAUGUGGGCGAAGUACUUCAACACCUCAUUAUUGAAAAGUAUGGAUGAAGACCUUGCUGAAGCAGCAGAUGACAAUGACCAUCCAUAUGAAAUGUGGUUAUGGCCAUUAACAGGGGAAGUUUACUGGCAAGGUGUAUAUGAGCGUGAGAGGGAAGAAAGAUAUAGGUUGAAGAUGGACAAGAAGAGAAAAACAAGAGAGAAACUACUCGACAGGAUGAAACAUGGAUAUGUGCAGAAGGCACUUGGAAGAUUGAAGCUGUAGAUCUCAGCAGGAAGAGUUGAAAGUUUUGUUGGAAUUUCCUAUUCCUAUUGUCGUCGAGGAGGUGAGGUGAUAAUUUUUCUAAGCUUGAGCAUUCGAAGAGCCUCAUGCUGAUAAUGGAGUAAAGUGAUUGUUCCUUAACAGCAUCAAAGGUAGUUGGAACUGACUUAUUCUUCUGACGUUACUCAAUACAUUGAACGGGGGUCGCAGGUGCCAAGAUACACUUGAAAAAAAGCAAGCAAAGCUAGAAUGACAUACCAACAAUUUUGUAGCCAACAUAGCAUACAGGUAUAAAUUGCACGGCCUUCAACACUACUCCAGAUCUAACUGAUUUUGACUGGAAUUCUUUAGACAUACAAUUGUAUUCUUUUCACAUGUACAUAUCCUUUGAAAUAACGAUCCAAUUCUUCUGAAAAGCCCCUUUUUGGCUCUCUGACUUGUAACUACUAAAACCAUGACACCCUCGAGUAGAGGUUUACAAUUUUGACUAACUUAUGGGCUGCUAUUGCUUGAGGGGCAGAUUUCGUACUCGUACUAUUUAUAGGAAAAUGGGUUUACCGCAUUAUUCUUCCAAAUUUGUAACUGCUUGCAACCCACUAUUGGUGCGAUGUUCUUUCAUACAAUUUGACAGGAUUAUAGUAACUGGCACCUUAUGUGCACAGUUAACUUGUGACAAUAUCAAGGGAUACUCUGUUCCUAGUUUCGUGUUCCUAUUUCCUAGUACUUUGAUGAUUUUCAAGGCGAAACCAAAAGGCAAACCCAAUAACAUUUUAACGAACACAUUCUAAAAUCCUUAAAUGCAAAUAGGAUUGGAACACCAAGCUCUGGUUUUCUUAGCGGUGUCAAAUUUGUACAUAUUGGUCACAUUUAUUAGCCCAAUUUCCCCUGUUUCAAAUGGGUUUGGGCCACCUAAAUUGUCAAGCUGAUCCGUGUAACUCAUUUGCAUGCACUUGGACAAAUAGCUCUAUUUCCACUCGUCCCUUUUUGCCAAAUUUGCUUGAAAUUUUCAGCGUUUUUUUCUCACAGAAAGUGUGACGUUUGCAAUUUCAAUUGCGCACUUCUAAUUGCAAUGCCUGAUUUGGGGAAAUUUUGGAGCAAUGUCAGUAGAGUGCCCGGUUUCACUGACUGCUUCAUCGGAAACUUCUCUUAAAAACUAAUCAAUAUUUUAAAAAGAUGUAGCAAAUUUUAUUCUCCUAAAAUAGGCUUAUGAGAAACGGAGUUGAAAGUGCACGACGAUGAAUGGUCCAUAAAUUUUCAAUUGAACCAUUAAUAUAGAAUAUGUUUGGAUAGAAUAUUAUUUGGGAUAAUUUUUUGAAUAAAUAUUAUAACACUUUUUUAAUAUGAUGUAUAUAAAAUAAAAUUUUUUUGAAAAUAUGUUUGUAGUAUAACAAAUAAUAAGUUGUCCAAACAAACUUACAGAUAAAAAAAAAAUUGUAGUAGCAGCAAGAUCCUGAUUGAUGUUUGAACACAUUGCACUGUAUGAACUGAUUAAAUCAGUUCACUAACCAAAACCUGCAAGCAAAAGAUUUAGAAAACAUCCAAAAUCAAACACAUAGAGACAAAAAAAAAAAAUUGGGACGAAGAAGGAUUCGACCAGGAUAAUAUAGUCAUUUCAACAUUCAACGGACAUUUUUUUUUCCUUUCCUUUCGUUUUAUUUUUUGUCUCUUGAAAUAUUAAUUUAAUGUAUAGUAAUAAUUUAAAAAUAAUCCCCCCAUGCCAGCCAGUACUAAAAUCCUGCCCUCCCUCAUCGUACGCCUAAUUAGACUCAAUUGGGAAUGUUGGGCUGAGCAGCAAAAACCGUGUAGGGUUUUCGGCUCCCACUCCAAACCCCUACUGUUCCCUGUUCACACCUUGAAGACUCAUCUUACGCAUCUGCUUCUUCUUUCAGGUGACACCCAUUUCUUGCAUUUCUAGUUAUCAAAUCACUGACUUCUUUAUGGACUUUAGCUUAUCUUACUUUUUUUUUAUCGGUUUUUUGUUGACAAAAUGAACUGGUCGUUCAUUCUCUGCUGUUUCCCAUUUUGGUUUUCUUUUGAGGAGCAACACUGUAUGCUGAAGUUCUUGUAAUUUUCUUCUGAAUCAUUUGUUGUUUUCGUUUCAAAUUGGGAUGGGCUUGCAAAGUUGAUGUCCCACUGCAUUUCUUGGUUGCUGGAAUGUGGAGGAAUUAGUAACCCAAGUUAUUUUGUUCUCUUUUUUCUAUUUAGACAUGAAUGCUGGAAUGCUAGUGGAAAAUUUUCAAUUCAGCUAAUUUUUUUGGUUGGGCAUUAUGUGGGCCAGCCAAUUUUCUUUUUUUUUUUUGGGGUUACAAAAAAUUUGUCUAGUCUAUAUGCUUAAUUGUUUUUUCCUUUUGUGUUGGGGUUUGAGCAGAAUGCUGGCAGAAAUAUGAUUAGUUUUGUGUCAAAUCAGUUGACAUUCUUCGAAAGAACCAAAGAGACACUCCCUUAGAAUACUAAUGAAUCUUAUUCUCUCUUAAUGUAUAUGCAUAUAAGGAGGCCGGUCUUUUGUCUAUCUUACAGAGAAAUAGAGUCUGGAAAGUGAUGAGAUAAACUCUGCAGUUCAUAGGUCUUUGAAUGUGUGACAUGACAUAUACAUGCGGCUAAGAAACCUAUCUUUUAUGUUGCUUGUUUACCCCACGAAAGGCAUCAACUGAAAAUUAUUCUAAUCACCUGAAAUUCAUAUCUGUGGUUGAUGUGUAAACAUACGUUGUACAGUCACUGACUUGCAACGAUCCUAAACUAUCGAAGAAGUAAGCAGUAGCACCCUGUUUUUGUAUUGCCUUUUUUUAUGUUCUUGGAGCUCAUAACCAAAAUUUCACAUAACCAAAAUUUUCAGAUGAUGCAUGCAAUCAAAGGUGGAUGGGUUGGGCAAACAUUUGCCCUUGCUGCAUAUAGUGACUCUGGAGGGAGGAAGGCAAGGAUUAGGCGUUCAAAGGAGGAGAGGAAGGCAAUGGUUGAGUCUUUUAUAAAGAAGUAACCUUUUCAAACUUGCUCUUUUUAUGAAGAGAAUUUGUAUAUUAUUUACAUUACAAUGGUGAUCUAUUUUGUGCAUGUGUCUGUGUAUUUCUUUUUUAAUCAUCACUAUUAAAUGUUCACUUUUUGCAUAAGGAUGAUUGUGUUAGCAUGUAAACUUUUGUCAUCUGGUCCUUGAGAGUAAUAUAGAUUGUGCUUUUCCCAAAAUGAGAAAUCUCUUUGUUUGUUGUUUAGGACUAGAAUUCAUCUAUUUUAGUUUCCUUGACCAUCCACAUAAAUAGGAAGAAGAACUUAUUUCAUUUAGUUUCUUAAAUUGUUCCUUUUUUACUAAAUAUACUCGCUGACGUCUUCACAUUUCUUGGGUCAAUUUCUUACAGAUAUCAGAACUCAAAUAAUGGAAAUUUUCCAUCUUUGAAUCUUACACACAAGGAAGUUGGUGGUUCUUUUUACACAGUUCGGGAAAUUGUUCGAGAAAUUAUUCAAGAAAACAAAGUAUUAGGUCCAGCUAAGUUUUCAGAAGAGCAGAGCUACGAUAAUGUUUUGGAGCAUUAUCCAUUAGGAUCCAUUUCCAUUGAAGCUCAAAGAAGUUCAUUACCAUCAGAUGAACUGAAAAGUGUAAUCCAUAUUUCAUCCAAACAAAGACAGGGUACCGGUGAAGAACUUGUUGCAAAUUCUAAUGGACUAUUCUUUGGGUAUGAGCAUCAAAAUCUAGAUAGUGAUCAAGUAGUUAAUGGUGUAAUUGAGACAAUUAAAGAUGACGUGGGAUCAGAUGGACCAAAAAACGUAGCUCAUACUUCAUCCAAACAAAGUCUGGAUAGUGGUGAAGAAGUUGUUGCAAACUCUAGUGGACAAUCCUUUGUGUCUGAGCAUCAGAAACUACACAAUGAUCAAGUAGUUAAUGGUGCAGUUGAGACAAUUAAAGAUGAUUUGGGAUCUGAUGAAUGCAGUUUAAUUGAAGCUGCAACCCCUACUCAUGAAGGCACAAGUGAUGAAAUCCUUGAAAAUUUGAGUGGGCAGUUGACAGGACCUGAUUGUCAGGAGUUUGACAGCAAACCAAUUGGCGAUGUUAGUGAGCCAACUGACGAGGAUGAAGAAUCUAAUGAACCAGUUAUACGUAGUCCUGUGUCUAUACCUAAUCCCAGAGUUAUUCAAGAAGAUCACCAGGAAAGUAGGGGAGAACAAGUUGUACAUUCUACCAUAGAUUUUCCUGGAGAUGGCCAUCUGAAAGCAGACACGGAAGAAGAUGUCAAUGGGAUUAGUCAGGCAAUUGGAGAAACUGAAUAUGAACAACCAGUAUUGGCAGUGGCUGUAGGAGAAGAUAGCCUGGAUGUCAACAAAGGUGGUACUAAAACAGUUGAGUCAUCAAAUGUUGGUAUGACUCGCGGGCAAGCUGACAUAGUUGUCGAAAAAUUUCCACUUCAUCCCAUUGCUAGGAAAUUUGAUGACUUGGAAGGAAGAUUAGAAGAACAAAGUCAAGGAACUAGAACUCUGGAGGUAAACAAAAUUGAACAGGACAGCGUACAAGUUACAGAGCACUCUUGUAGUGCUGUGCAGGUGGAAGCUGGUGCAGACCUUGCUGUUUCAAAAAGCAAGAGUGAGCUGGUGGGUAAAACUGCCAGCCUAAAUGAUGGGAAUCCACCAUUGGAAAUGUCAAAUUGCUCUGCAACCAAAAAAGUUCCUGUAUUUGACAUGAGCAAUGCUGCAGAAAUCGGAGCAAAGGUCUCUUCCCCCACUGAAGCAAAGGUAUUUUACUUAUGAUGUAUUUAAUAUAUCUUUUGCACAUGGCUUGGGAUGUAUGUCUUUGCAUCCCUAACUUUGUGCUUAUUAAAGGGCUUAAAUCUUGUAGCUGUGAAUAAGAUGUAGAGGGACUUUGGGCUAUGUGACAUCUAUGUGCCAAUGAAAGUGGUUAUUUCCUGUUCCUAGUCCUGAUUGGUUGAAUUCAUUGGGAGGCCUUGUAAUGGAAGUAUAUAUACGGUCAUGUUUGAAAAUCAGAUGAGUGGAGAUGCAAGUGAAACUUACACUUUGGUACUGUAACACUACGAGGUUAAAAGUGUAAUGGCACUCAGAUCCCGGAUGAACUCUUCUGAUUGCAUUACGGUGAACCUGGGUACUUAUGAUGAGUCUUGCAGCCUGGAGCUAUCUUGAUCUUGCAAUUUGGUAGAACCUCCAUUUGUGGUUGUCUUGUUAAUUAUUCUUCAGCUGUCGCAACGUGGAUAUUAAUGAACUUGUCAGUACUAGUUUAUUAAGUCUAAUGAAGGUAAUUUAAAAUUUGGUUGUAACUAAAAAUUUAUUAUGUUCUGAAGAUGAAAGGUCACAAUUUGGUGGGGUUUCAUUAAAGGUGCAGCAGGUAUGGUGGCCUAUACAUAGAAAAAUUGGAAGGUGGCUACUUGUGUUUGGCUAUCACAUACUGUAGCUGUUGCACAUUUUAUUCUUUUCCUAUUGGGUGGUGCUAAUUUCUCUGACGUUAUUUUACAGCCUGCGAAUGUUCCAACGGGUACCAAUGAGAAACAUGGUGACAUAAAUGCUGGUGUUUCUCAUGAACAGUCCAUUCCAGAUGAAACCAUUGGAAUAGAAGACAAACUAAAGAUCGAAGGUGAUAGCAGCUCCAAGGAGGGAAGCAAUCCUACAUUAAACAGAAUUAACCUGUAAGUAUCUUUUGUGGCAUCUCCUAGGCCUUUUUGCAUACAGUUCAAGAUGUCACUCUUUAUCAUUUCAGAGUGAUCAGUUUCAACAUUCCCCAGUCCCCGGACUGCCCCACCUAUGUACUGUUCAUUUAGCCUCACCCAAUUGAGUUUCCCCUUUGCAGUGAAACAUGGGAAAGGACAUCAGAGCUGCCCGCUGAAUCUGAAGUAAAUCCAGUUUUUGCAUUCUUCAAGGCGCUUGUUACUGCUUUUGUGAGAUUUUUGAAUGGAUGAGAGUUUACGGGGUGUUAUAAUGUAGCUUUUGAGAGUAUCUGCAGGGUGUUAAGCUUAGUGUUUGCAGCUUAUGGGACACUUUAAUUCCAUGAUAUUAUGAUAUCUGGUAACGUACUUAAUGUAUAUGGUGGUUGCUGCGGUCAAUUACAUGAUGCUUGUAUCCCUGAAACCUAGGUAGAAGAGGAGACCUUGCUAGAUGGAUGUCAUCAAGGAGCUGGUCCAUCAUUUCAGCUUCUUGAUGACCUCCCCUCAUCUGCACCAUUAAAGUUGGAUGGAACAAGUGUAAGCAUGGUCUGGAUAAAUCUACAUUUGCUUCCUAAUAAAAAGUAAAAUAGCUUGAAGUAGUUGUAUGAUCUCCUUGUAUCCUAAGAAAUAUCGACAGCAUAAAUAAAUUGUCCAUCAAGUUGUGAUAAAUCCCAAUUUUCCAUGGGAGACACUGUUAGCAGAAAAGGACAUAGUACUGUUUAAUAAAGAGCAGCCCUACUCAUUCCACAACAGAAAAUGGUCAACAGAUGAGUGGUUGCUGUUUAUUAUAUUUAGAUUAGAAGAAAAAAGAAGAAGAAGAAAAAUCCCUUUCCAUCCCCAGCUCCACUGGAAAAGUGACGCAGCAGUAUUCCAGGAACAGAAUUCAGUCCACCACAUUUCAUACGAUCGCGGAUGGCUGAGAAGGUCUUGUUCUUAAUUCUUUCUUGUAGAUGCUUUCCAACUGUUAGCGCAAGACUAAAGCUUGACCAUUCUGGGAUCUUUUGCUUUAUAAUUACGUUGCUUGCAUCACAUGGAUGUGUUAGUCCACCUAAAAGCAAGGCAUUCCCAGUCUAGAAGGGAUUCAUUAUUACAUCUUCCUUUUUGCAAGGGUGAGAUUCUCGAGCGAGACUUUAACUGAGGUCUACUUUUCGUUUUCGUUCGCCAUCAAAGCAUCAUUGGGUUUGGUCCAUAGACUACUCAUUGAGGUUGUCAAUUAAGAGUCCAAACCGGGCAAUCGAUUCCAGCUCUGCUAACGUGAUUACAUUACUGCCAGGAAGUAAUUGAAACUUAGAAAAAGAGCCUUUUCCUUUUCCUCUGUUCAAUUGGAUGUAGUAUUAGCAUGUAUGAGGGGUCACUGCUUUUUUCUUUCUUUUGUUUUUGGUAGAGAAUAAGAAUAGAAGGGCUAAAACUAAGACCAGUCCAACUCCAAUACAUGAAGGGAUUAUAUGUGCAAUAAUUUGUUUGAUUAUUUAGGAACUUAGAAUUGAUGUCUGCAUGAAGCGUUUCAGCGUUUUGUUUGGCAUGGUGUCAUGAUUUUGCUGCCAAGUUGUAACAAAACGAACUUAUAGUUUUUAGACUUUAGUUUAGUACAAUGCUCACAUUGCUGGAAUACAGCCAAUCGGGAGCAAGCAAGAGAUGCCCACAUAUUGAUUAAGCUUCCCUGGCUUUUGCAACAGAAUCUCAAGUACUAAAUAUGUUUUGUUCCAUGCGUUAAAAAAAUCAAAGGUUCACAAAUGUACAUCUCUCUCUGCACACAUGUAUAAUGGCAGGAUUUCUCUGUUCAAAAAAAAAUAUAUAUAUAUAUAGUCAUUUCUAUAAGAACAUAAGAAACAACAAUAAUACUCUAUAUUUUGAUGUUUGUUUGAGGGUCGGUUUGUGAUUGGUUCUAAAGCUUGUGUGACAAAAGGCAAAGGAUAUUAAAAAGAAAGAGAGAAAGGUGUGAAGCAAUCUCGAAGCAAGGAAUAAAGUGGAAAAUAUAAACUAAGAAAAAAAAUCCAGUAAUCUGUAAUUCAUCAAGACUCAAGAGCAAGACUAAAUUAAAACCCCCAAAACCUCCGCAAACUAAAAAAAUAUAAGAACAACGGCAAAGCUAUCUUACUAUAUUAUUAAUUUUCUUCAAACUAUUGAAAUACUAGAAUUCAAUGCAUUGUACACAAAUAAAUUUAACAAAGCUAUAUAUAUAGUAGCAACAAUUUUUCUAGUAUUCCUAGUUGGAGUAUAUGGUAGGAUUGGCAGACUCCUUGCGGCUUCUAUGACUAAAAACAAAUUCUUGAAAUGAUAUAAAAAAAAAACAAAAUUCGAGGAAGAUUCAAAAAGUUGCACAGGAUCAUUAUUGCAUGGGAUGGCAACAUGCAAUGAUAGGGGGGUGGCAUGGAAUUCCCCCAAGCAAUUAUUAGUUAUUAAGAACACUUCACACAUAAGGCCAAUAUCCCUUAAGCAGGGGUAAGGGGGACAAGGAGGGUGUCCAAAAACACGUAAUAAUGAUCCCUCUUCAUUCCUAUCUAAUCAGCAUGCAAUUGGAUAUGAAUCUCAGGUCAAAUGGCCUAAUAAUACAAAUCAGAUGACGGUGUCAAGGAUUCGGAGAAAUGAAAUUGUUGCCCGUAUAUAGCGGUCAGAGAAAUUACGCCAUCAUUUUCUAGGAUUUUUUUUUUUUGGGGUAUCUUUGUACAAUGUAUCAAUAGACAAGGACGUCCUAAUUAUACGUAAUGAAGUUGGGGUAAUGCAUGGUGAAAACCAAGCAAAAUAGAUAGGCUGAGGGGACAGUUCACAUGGAAAGAUUCAUUCAUGAGGUGGAGAUCAUGGAGAGGGUAUUUGGUAAACCCAACCAAAACAUAUAGUAUUAUUCAAGGCUCAGUUUCUUUGUUCUUUUAUUUGCACAAUAAUAAUAAUGAGGGAGAGACAGAUAUGGCAGAUAGGGCGUAUUGAAGGCUCUACGAUGGAAUCCUAUGCUAGUUUAUAAAUUAGAGUGACAGAGACAGAAAUGGGUACAAAAAUUGCCAACGAAGGUCUUAGGCUAAAUGCAUUGUACUACAAUUAAUUAUAGCUGACUGCGAGCCAAGCUGGUCGUGAGUAGUUCGGUCAAUUGCUCGGCUCGAAUUCGGGUUGACCAAGUUUGAGUCCGAACUUGAACUAUUCGAUUGGAAAGCAAAUCGAAUUUUGAGCCCAGAUAUAUGCUACUCAAGCUCGACGAGCUACUUGUCGAGUACUUUUUAAUUUAAACAUUAUAUUUUUUUUUUAAAUACAAAAUUAUCACUAAGGGUUUAUGCUUUCAGAUGAUUUACAAGCUGAUUUGCAUACCUAAUAAAACUCUUGAAUGGCAAAAAAGUAAUAGAAUUUGAAGUAGACACAAUAUAAUUUCAUUCGCCAAGUUUUGAACUUAAAGGCUCAAAAAUGAGGUCUGAUUGAGUUUCUAUACUUGAAAGCAUCAUUGAGUACUCAAACUUGAUAUGGCUCGAUCCUGAUUCAAGCCAUAUCGAGUCGAGUUUGAGUUUUAUACCGUUUUAGUAAGUGGAGUUCAAUUCUCUAUUCUCGAACUUAUCAAGUUCGAACUCGAGUCGAGCAGGGCAUCAAUAGUGUUUGAGUUGAGUUCGGGUAUAGAACUACUCAAGUUUGACUCAACUUGUAUACACCUGUAACUACAAAUUUUCGCUUGAAAAUUUGACCAGUAGAGAUCAAAAUGAAAUAUUAAAAAAUACUAAGCACUUGUGGCAAUUUGCAUCAUGUGAGACGAUUCCAAAUAUGCCCUCAUACUGAAAACGGAAUUGAUUUAAGAAAUAUGGAUCUUUAUGAACGGAAAAAAAAGAGUAAGUGUAUUUGGUGUUAUCCGUAGAUAAAGCGUUACUCAUAGGUCAAAAAAGACACCGACUCAAGUUUAUCAGCUUUUUUUUAGUUUUGCUUUUUUUUUUUUUCUUUUUGGGGGAAAAUGUUUCUAGGUAGCAACAAGUGCCACAUUCUUGCCCCGUAGAGGAGAAGGAAUAGAAAGAAAUGGAAGUAAAAUAUCCAGGACUCUGGUAUAUAUAUAAUAUCUCAUGGUUGAAUUUUAGCUUUUCAUACAUCCAACAAACAUAUAUUAGCAUCUUACAGACACAACUAUUCAAUUUUGGGAUCAUCAGCGAACUUUUACAUAUACAAGACACCGACGAAGAUUCGUGCAAACAUGGAGAGGAAGAAAAAAUUUGGUCGAAUUCUUAGGAACAAACAAUAUCUCCUCAACAUCUUUAAUCUUGAAUAUCCUGCCAGAUAAUUUUUAAUGAGAUGCUUCUUAAGUUCACUGGGAAUAAGAAAAUCUAAUGGAAUUAUUUACUGCAGGCAGGCUUUCUUAGAGCGCAUGUAGUAGUGGUGGUGUCCAUGCAGGUUGCUCUCACCUUUUUGAGCAAUUCUUUGUCGGACAAACUCCAUAUUGCACCUUCGAAUUCGUAUGAUUUUUUCACUUUACAUUCUAAACUUCAAAUUUAAAUACUUUGCACAUUAAAUUCUUAAUUUUAAACACUUUACAUUCUAAUCAAUUAAGUUUGUUCUAUUUAAAUCUAGUCAGCGACAACUUCAGCAAAAUUAACGGCAUGUACGACUUAUCAAAUUAAUGAUAAUAUGCUGAAAGUUGUUAAAAGGUAGCAAGGUAUCAUAGCAAAAAUAAAACAGUAUAUUGGAAUUAAUUUGUACCAUCUUUUAUCUAAUUGAUUUUGCUAGAAAUAUUAGCGAUUGAAACUAUAUAAAUCAAUAAUAAUAUGCUAAAAUGGUCAAAAAAGCUAAGAGAUCGCACUGAAUGAUACAUUUUUAUUGAUUUUCACUACACCCCUUUACCUCAUACAUUUUGCAAGCAACAUAAUCAUUGGUUAUAUUUAAACACGACAAACUUGAGAGUUUAGGGUGCAAAGUGCCCAAAAUUAACGGUGUUUGGAUUGCAUUUUUCAUGAAAAAAUUACUGUAGUGAUUUGAUGUAUGUAAGAGAAAAAGGUAAUAGGAAAAUGUGAUCACGGAAAACAAUGUAAUUUUCCGACGGAAAACUGCAAUCCAAACAAGGCAAUUUGGAUUGCAAAGUGAAAAGGUGAUAUAAGUUUGGGAGCGUAAAGUGAAGUUAGUCCUUCUUUCUUAAUUAACUUAACGUAAGUUAUAAGCUUGGAUUCACAGGCCAAUUCCAAAAAAGUUGAAACCAUGAAUUUCAGAUCCAAGAUUGAUCAGCGUCCUUUCCUUCCUUGCACUGUCAAGUAUCCAAGUCCUGCGAUGUGCAAUGUACAAUGUGGGCUAUUUAAUUAAUGAGUUGCAGCUUGUCAUUUUCUAGUACUCAUCAUGCAAAUUGGUAAAUGUAUCUCACCCUCUUCACCGUUUACAACCCAAGUUUACCUUAAAAAAAGAAAGAAAGAAAAAAAGAAAAAUUGGUACUGCAAUGGAGAACAUUAAUAUUAUCUAGGCAGCAUAGAAACAAACUUGUCCCAGUAGCACUUUUAAGCAAUUAAAUUCCUUCUACUUUCAUGAGCCUCUAGUACAGUACUACAGUUACAGGACAUGUCAAUAUAAAAACUGAUCAAAAUAGUAGUGACGAUCCAGAUGACAAAAAUCUCACAGGUAAAUGCCUCUAACAUGCAUUCACAAUCUUGACUGCAGAACCGCAGGAGCAUCUCCUCUUCAUCCUUUUUGUACUUCUUAAAAACUAAAAUAAAACGAAAAAAAGAAAAUAAUAGAGAGAUUUGGAGGAGGAAAAAAUAAAAAUUGCCAAUGAAGAAAAGAUGAAAAAGGUUUGUGAGUAAAGGUGGGGAAGACAGGUAGUUACAUCUGGAGCCAAGUGACGACAGCCUGAGAUGGACAUGUUAGAAAAGUUGUUCUACUACUGUAGUCUGUGCUGCCACCAAUCUAUCUAUCUUAAUCUGCUGGUUUGUGUGAGAAUAAAGAAUGCCCCUACGACCUUUUCUCUACUCAAUUACCUUCCAAUGCACGCCUCUCUUCCAAACUCUUCUUUUUCAACCCGUAUAUAUAUGUAUGUAUGUGUAUAUAUUCCCUGCCCAUUCCUACACUUGUAUCUCUUACAAUUUCCUGUUUACAGGUUCCUCCUUAUCAGCUUUCCCUCCAGUUCCUCGACCAACCCUCCACCCACCAGAAAAAACCGAAAGAACGGACAAAAAACCCAUGUCUACGGAUCUAGAAUUACGCCAAGAAUUGGUGGAAAUCCGAUUACCAGCUCUAAACAUCAAGGUUUCACAGUCUUCAGAUAGUACGGAUGAUGGCGGUGCUGUAAUUCAGUCACAAGAAAGCACCACCGGCACGGGCAGCUGCAUCAUUGAAGAAGAAGAGUGCCAUACUCCAAAAUCGCCUCAGCAUAUGAUCCCAGAAAUUCUUAGCUGCCCACCUGCCCCAAAGAAGCCUACGAGGCCUGCUUCCUCCUCAUGCAAGAGAAAAUUAUCUGAAUUUUUCGAGUUUGUGGGACGGGAAGAGAUUGAGUCUUUUUUCAGGCAGCUCGACGUGCCGAAUUCUACAACCGGUGUCAUCAAAAAGAGGUGUCUUGUAUAAAAUUUAUUCCACAUUCAGAAAUUUUCUAAGGCCGCCCCAUUUUCUUACAUUGCUUUGCAAAUUGGAAUCAAUUGACAAAGCCACAGCAAAGUGAAUUACGAUCAAUUGUGUAUGUAUUACACCUUUUUAUAUGUUAAAGAAAAUGUAUUAUUUGAUUCACAAUUCUUGUUAUUACCACAACUAUUAUUAUCUUCUUUUCAUUUCUUUUUGUGUAAGUUGGAUCUGAACUGAAGGCUGACAUGAUUGAGAAUUUACUCAAAUUAAUUUGAGUAAUUAACUUGCACUAUCUUCUCUCUCUCUCUCUCUCUCUCUUCUUUUUUUGUUUAUUGAAAUUUGGUUGGGAAGGUUGGUUCACUUGGUUUUAAACAUGGAUGACGAUAGUUAAUUAAGGCUGCUAAAACAUAGAUUAGUGAUGAGUUUUGUGAGGGAGAUGAGUGGUUGGUUGGUUGGUUUUGUCCGAAGGAAGGAAGAUGUGAAUAAUAGAUGGAAUCAAUCCACCAAAUAAUCAAUGAAUGAAAUACAGCUACGACUAAUUCAGUUGGUGCAAGUUUUUUCUUGAGAAAGAUUUGAAUUAGGUUUGAUGAUGCAGCAUGAUCGUGUUUGACGUUAUGGUUGAGUGACAGACACGGUUUUGGGAUUGACAUCCUUUGAUUAUCUUUUUUUUUAGCGUUCCUCAUCUCUGUCUUGCCAAUCCAGAAAGAGAUAGAGAAUUGACAGGUAUUUGUCCUUUUUUUUGCUUUUGUCCUUAUUAAUGCAAACAAAAUUCGGCACUGUAAUAUGUUGUACAUAUAGCGUAUUCCAUGCUUCAGCCUGCUUUGGAUUGCCAUUUUGAGAGCAAAAUUUUUACAUUUUUUGUGAAUAUGUUUUCUCCCUCACACACAUCACAUCCUUAAAAAAAAAAGUUACAAGAAUUUUUUCCAAAAAACUUUCGAGGACUAAAACUUGUCGUUCCACGCCCCCUCCUUCUUUUGUCGUUAUUCGUUGAGCAAUUUGUUUUUUUUUUUCAAGUGUAAACGGGUAGAUUCGGGGUUUAAAGGCGAAAUCUCUCAUUUACACUCCCUUCUCCCUUACCAUCCAAUCCAUCCCUUCCCCCGUUAAGUAAUUUGCUAAAACAACAUACAAAUACACAUACAUGAUCGCUUGCUUUUGUGUCCAAGAAAAACAUAUACCACUAGUUAUUUUUUUGGAGGUUUUAUAGAAAAAUAUACGGUUAUAAUUUGAUGUAUAUAAAAUAGAAAGGUAAUUAAAAAAUAUAUUUGUAAAAAAAAAAAAUUUUUUUGGGAGAGAAAGGGCAAUCCAAGCUCAGCAAUGAAACUGGUACAACAAGAAUAAAAAAAAAACAGAGAGAGAGAGAGAGAGAGAGAGAGAGAGAGAAUAAUAGUGCUAGGAUGGGUUGAAUAAGUGCGAUAACUGGCUUUAAUUACGCCACAUAGGAAGUGUGCGAGUUCACAUGCCGGCCUACAACUUUUGUUGGUAUUUCAAUUAUUUUUAAUGUAGGGCUGGCAGUCUUCGUUAACAAACUUGGAAUUCAUUUAUAAAAGGACGAAAAAAAAGUUGGGGAAAAAGAUAGUCUUACAUGACCACGUAUUCACUUGACUUCUACAUUUUUAACGUGUGCAUUUUGAAUUUCAGAAGUGUUUCCACGGAAUCGAACGGAUUUUGAAGGCUAUUCUUUGAAAGAGCAAUCUUAUAGUUAGCAGUUGAAUUUGGACAUAAUUUGUUAAGCAGAUUGAUAACCAUACACCUGGCCAUUUGAAUUUGAUUCAGACUCCAUCCAUACAAUAAGAGAGAAAAAAAAAUGCCGAACCUGACGUGACUAUUCUUCUAAGUUGCUGUGGUUGCAUCAGCAUUCAACAUUCAGAUUAUAACGAUGGUCCCUACUCUCAGGUGCUACUCAUUAACACAUUUAAAAUUCAUUUAACUUAUAAUUUAUAUAUGCAUACUGAUAAUUAUUACCUUUUCUUAUAUUUAUAUACUUUUUUUAUUUAAUCUUAUCCACCCUCUUUUAUAUUUACUUACUUUUUCUAGUCAAUCUUACGCUUCUAAAAAUAUACGACACUUUAAAUAUAUUUUAACGAGUACUCAAUAGGUAUCCAUUAGAUAGGCACUUUAAUUAUCUUACCUUUUAAUUUGGCACCUUUUAUAAGAGAAAUGACCUAGAGUUAAAAAGGACCCGAUUAACAAUUCGAUUGUAUUUUUUUUAUUAUUAUCUUUCAUCCCUUUCCCAUCCUUAACUGUGAGGAUUCAAAUCCUAAACAUGACAGUGAGGAGAGUUCUUCCCUGAUCACUGGCUAACCCCUGUGAUUUAAUAAUUUGAAUGUACUAUAAGAUUACUGUGUGUUAGAAGGUGAAAAUAAGUAACUAGGCGUGUGCAAAAUAAAAAAAUUUCGAUUUACAGACCGAAUUUGAAUUCGGUAAUUCGGAAUGAAAAUCGGAAUUUCGAUUUCAAAUUGGUCGAAUUCGGUAACGAAAUUUUUCAAAUCGGAAAUUCCGAUUUCUAAUUCAUAAUUCGAAAUCGAAAUCGAAAUUCGGAAUUUCUAUUUCGAUUUCAAAUAUGUUUUUCAUAUAUAUAUAUAUAAUAUAUAAUAUAAUAUUUAUUUUAUAUUCAUGAAUUCGGUGAGAUCGGAAUUUACCGAAUUCCGAAUUGUAUUUUGCAAGAUUAUAGCGCAGUACUUCAAAGAGUAUUUUGCAUGCAACGUGACGAUAUCCCCUGACAGAUAGGACAGUGAAUAAUAAUAAUAAUAAUUCUGGGCCAUAUGUCUCUACUGCUCGAUAUCCCCCCGCGAGAUACUAACACCGGAUCCAGAAUAUUAAAUCACAUAGAACAAAACGGAGCAAAGUAAAAACUAGAAUUCAUUUUCUGUACUCCGUUGUAGGAAUAUCUUAACCCUCAGUCACUUGUUUCGCUUUAAAUUUUUCCCCUCUUCCUUGAUCAGCUUUGACAUACUCUGUAUUUGUAUUUAACCAAAUUCAAACUGACAAAAGGCUGUAUGCGGACAAUGUCGUAUUAAUCACGCCACUUUUGAUGGAUACGUAUAUAUAUAUAUAUAUAUAUAUAAUUAAUUAAAGCUUUGAGUAAGCUUCAAUCUUACGUGUCCUUUCCUGCGGAUAUUAGCAAGAAGAAAAAGUUAGAUUACCUACAAUUAAAGACAUGAUUUAGACAGAUUACGUAUUUGAGUCAGGACCAGAUCAGAAGCACAAAAGUAAAGAAGAAGCCGGCAGGCGCUUUUAUGGUCGAGCUUAAACCAUAAGUUACUUUUCCGUCUCUUGAUUUUGACGGAAUAAUUAAAGAGGCAGCAGCAGCAGCAGCCCACCCCCAGCGCCAACUCGCAGACAGAGAGCCAGAGAGGUAUAAAGAUGGUGAAAUUAAUAUCCAUAAAUUGAUGAAUUAAUUAUAUAGUUCAUGGAUACAACAUUCACGUGGUCAGGAAUAUUAGAGUUCAUUAAAGGGGACACAUGCAUAUGUGUACAAAGUGAUAACGGCGGCAGAAAUUCUUGAAAAUCAUUUAUUCCCCUGUAUGUGUGCUGUAUAUUCAGCUUGAUUAUAAAACUUUUUUAGUGUUACAGUUUGCAUCCUCAGAAUACCAUGCAUCACAAUUAUACGUCAAUAUAUAUAUAUAUAUAUAUAUAUAUAUAUAUAUAUAUAUGAAUAUCUUAUUUAGCUGAGCAACACAAUAUAAUUGACAUCAAAAGCUAUUUUGAAGAGCAGCGCGUCGGUUGCAGAUGAAACGUCUUACUGACUAGAUUAUGUUUCGCUGUUAGAUAGUAUUCAUUCAGUAUAAUUUUUUCUUAUAUGGGACGUAAAGAGGACGCAUUGCUAGUUGGAGCCUUCUAGCUCUGGCGUCAACCACAUCCUCAAAACCCACCAAACGUUAGGUGUAUGUUUGGUAGGUUUAAACAAAGUUAUAACGAUGGUUUUGAUCUGAUUCCAUCUGAUUGAUCAAUCAUGUGAAACUAAUUUUUCAUUUUUAUUGCUAGUCGGCGGCCAUGUGACCGAGAAAUUCAUGAUCUUGUCGAACAAUAUUAGCAAAUUACUGAAAUAGGAGUUUUAGCUAGGAUCCAAGAACAUCUGUAAAGUUGCUAAAGCAAGUGUAAAGAAUCCACCACAUUGAUCUAAACUAAAGCAAAUGCAAAUCAGGUUAUAUAUAUAUGUAUAUAUAUGGACAACAAACAUAAAAAGAAAACCCCAGGAUGUGUAUAAAAUUUACCGAGUACAUAUUUACUGCUAAUUACCCAACUAGAAAACUAUUCAAAAUCCUCUUCCAAAGCAACAAAAAGAAAUGCAAAACUACGGGACAUAUUUCAAUUAUAGAAGUCCAAAAGUUGCCCCUCUAUCUUUGCAAGUGUAAAAAUCGCCUCAUCAAGAUGAAAUCCUACCGCAAGCGACACAAAUUAAGCAUUGGAUAAAACACAGAUUAACCGUCUAUCACAGGAAGUAUUUCCUCCUUGUGGGCCGAAAGGGAAAAAAACAAUUGCAGACAUGGAACUGGAAAAAGUGAAAGCUAAGAUCUGAUAAAAGUGAAGAAAAAGUGGAGUUAAAACCCUGGAUUUUGUAGUUAAAUACUAUCAUAACUGAUCCCUUUUGUCUACUGAGGUAAGACAAGUGUGUUCCCCAUAAAAGUGUCUCCUUGCACUACCAAGAAUGUUCAAUACAAGUACCAAUCACCGGUGGAAAUGAGAAUCUCUCAUUUUUGCCAGAAUACGAGGUGUGGAAGUUUCUUGGUGUUUAAUACUUGGAAUUUGGGACUACGGCAUUCUACGGGAUUUGUGAUGCUGGACUUGGGAACCACAACAUUAAGAGUUCUUAAUACAGAUUAUGAAUUAAAAAUUGCCAUUUGAAGGUCAUGCAAUUACUUAAUGCAGUCAUGGGUCUACACUUUUUCUCCACAACUACAUUACAAGUUUGUCUAUUUGAUAUCAAUAAUACAUAGCACUGGCUGAUUUAAUACAUGUUGCCUGUUGGAUAUUUUAAUAAAAAAAUAUCACAUAUUUAUUUUGAAUUCAAAUAAAAUAAAUUACAAAUUCUUUAAAUAAAUUUUCAGUUACAAAUUGAAACAUUUAAAUGUGUAACUUAUGAGAUUUAUGUCUUGCUUUUGUAACUUAUGUAAUGAUUAGGUUUUAUGAAAUCAUUUAGUAAUUUUUUUUUACCGUUAUACAAUGAAUCUAGAAUUUUCAAUUUGUAACUUAAAUAUGAGGUGUUAAUUCCUAUUAAUGUUGGUAUUUUAAUAUUCCUAAUUUCUUAGCCUAUAUAUAAGGCAUCUAUCAACCAAACCAAAUAUAUAUUUUGCUAUCUUUAUACUACCUUCUAUUUUUCCUCCACUACUAUAAGAGGUUAUAGGACAAAGAACAGUGUUAGUGUGAGGUUUCUGUCUUGCUUCAAUAGUGUAGAUUGGAAUAGACUACAGUGUGCAAAAGGCUAGGCUGUUGUAUUCUGAAGGCGACGUGCUGAGACCUACUACACCGGAGGAUACUCCGUAGGGACGUGAAUCGUCUUAAAGAGAGCGACUUAGUCCGCGUCUCAACCCAUGCCAAAUCAACAUAUUUAUGGUACAAAUUAUUUGCAUUUUUAAUGCAAGAUUAAGGUAUGAAUUUUUGUUAAUUUAUUUAUUAAAUUUUGUUAGAGAAAUUAUUGUGACUUAUAUGAUUUAUUUUGGUCUAGAACCAACAAUUUUAAGACGAGUUAGCCUCUUCACAUAAGAUAAGGUUAUCAUUGCAUGUUUUGCUUCUAAAUAAUCUAAUCAUAAAACUAACAUAAUCCCGACGAUAAGAAUCUUACAUGGUGUAUAACAUAAUCCGGACAAACUUUAAUAAACAAGAUAUUUCAUGUGAAUGGUUACAAUUAUAGACUGAGACUAGAAAGGGUAAUAUCCAUUGGUUUUAUGUGCUUUAGAGUCUGGUAUCAAUAUUAUGUAAGCGCAUAUAAAUAAUUCACAAUAUAUACCUUUGAAUCCAAGUUGCCUAUUAUUAAUAGAAUAUCAUGUAUUUGUUUGUUCGAGAAAAACAUGGUACUUGCAUGAUGUCUUUGUAUAUUAGUAGACUAAAUAUAAUAAUUUUUUGCCAUUUUUGAGUUUUUAAUAUAUGUUGUAUGAAGCAACUAUUUUCGCAUGAGCUUAUCGUGUUACAUAGUGAACUUUCAAUGUCUCUUAUAUUAACGGAUUUAUUCCGAUUGAAAAUUUUGGCAUUGACAUAUAAAUGAUUAAUUUGGUGAUAAAGAUAUAUACUCCAUGAAAUGCAUGUAUAACAUGACCAGUUAUUGUCUUAAGAAUAAUGGUAUCAAGGUGUAUAAAAAAAAACUGCAAUUAUGAGGGUUCAAGUUAUAUUUAAAUAAUGGGGGUUUAAAAUUCUCUAGUUUUGUCUUCAAUUCAUAUGAUCUUAGUCCAACUUGAGGUCUGCAUUUUCACAAGCAAUAAACGGUAUUGAUAAUACAUGAAGAAAAGAUUACACUGUCACCAAGAAAAAAUGAUAUAUAUAUAUGGAUAAUAGCUUUAGUGGCUUGAAGUUGUGAAAUAUAAAGUUAGUAGCCAUAUAAUUCUCAACAAUUCUAUUCUCUUGACUUGUAUUUUGUUAAAAUUGUAAAUAUGAACUUUUGAGUUGAAAAUGUGAUAUUGUACAUUGAAAAAUAUGUAUUUGAGGCAAAGGCCAUCAAUUUGCAGGCAACCAACAACUUUUGGAUUUGUAUUAAAUUAUUUCAUGAUGUUUGCUAUGUGGCUGUCUUUGCAUUUAAUGAAAACUGGAAUACUUAAUUUCCUUGCCAAGCAUGACUAUAGUAAGACUAUGUUUGGAUGGAAACGCAGACAGUGGAUGUUGACUAAGCUGGUAGCUAUGAAUUUUGAAACUCUUGAGAUUUUUCAUUAUAAGGCUUGCAUUACUUGCAAGUUGAAUUUUGAAAUUAAAACAUAAUAGUGCAUUGACUAUUAUAUUUUUUUGAAUUUUCUUAAUCUCUAAUUUGAGUUGUGCAGAUUAAAAAGUGAGGCAUGAUUUAAAUAGAUUUGAAUUACUUAUGAAGUUUUCUUGCAAAAGAAAAUUCAUUGAGGACUAUGAGAGUGGCGGGUUACUAGAUUACUAGCCAUUGAGAAGAUUAUAGAAAUGAUGGAAAUUAAUGUGGCUUUGCUUGAUGUGAGCAAAUAUAUGCCCAUUCUAUUUGCUCAAUUUAUGAGUAUGACAUAAUUAUUAUUUUUUUGAAUCUAUUCUAACUUUAUUUUGAGUUAUGCAGACAAGCAUUCACUGAAAAGCAUAACCUGAUGUGAAGGUACUUGAAAUAUUUUUUGAUAUUUUUGCAAAAGCAAAAAUAAUCAUGGAAUUUUUUGAGAAUGGAUUCUAGUGCAUCACUAGACUACUGGCCAUAGAAAAAAUUAAAAAAUUACUUAUGAGUAAAUAUAGGCCUACACUAUUUGGCAAAAAUAUAUGGAUGAGAAAUUUUAUCAUCGAAGAUUGGUUCCAUGUAUUUGGACCACUAAGAGGUUAUUUGAAAAAAUUCAAGAAUAUCAUAUCUUUGUUAUUUUAUUUGUGUUGAAAAAAUAAAUCUCAAACUUGAGUCAAGGAUAUGAUACACAUCGAGGGGGAUAAGACAAAAGUCUAAUAUAUGUUAAAAAUCACCUAUGAGGAUACAACCAUCUAAGAACUGGAGAUCCCAAGAACUAGGUCAGAGACAAAUGAAUCAUAGAGUGAUUUGGUUGAUAAAUAUGCACUACUGGAUUAUAUUGUCUAUCCCUAUGAUGUAAGUGCAUUUGUGAUCCUAUGACGAUAAGCGAGGUUAGAAUUUUUAUUCCCUUAAUGAGUUCUAUAGCCCUUAUGGGUGGGAUGUCUAAGUCAUAGAAGCAUCUUUGAUAGACUCACCUAUAUGAGUAUGGAAGUAUGGCCGCUUCCUAUGAGAAUUUGGACUGGUUCUCUAAAGUACUCAUGAAAAUCGGGAUAAAGCAUAAGGCCAUAAAUGUGCUGGCUUAUGAAACCUAUUUGAGAACACUGAAAGAUUCAUGUGUAUAAUACGAUUUCACGUGCCCUCAAGUAGUCAUCGUUUUAAUGCUAAAUCCACUUUGACUCUAGCACGGGAAUUGUUGAGCACUGAGUGAAGGUUUAAAGGCAUUGCCACCUUUAUUAUGCAUGAAUUUUUAAUCUUUGCCCUAUUAAGUGUUAAGUUUUAAAUAUUAUAUUUUUUUUUAUUAAAAUAAGUGGGGGAUUGUUGGAUAUUUUAAUAAAAAAAAUAUCACAUAUUUAUUUUGAAUUCAAAUAAAAUAAAUUACAAAUUCUUUAAAUAAAUUUUCAGUUACAAAUUGAAACAUUUAAAUGUGUAACUUAUGGGAUUUAUGUCUUGCUUUUGUAACUUAUGUAAUGAUUAGGUUUUAUGAAAUCAUUUAGUAAUUUUUUUUUACCGUUAUACAAUGAAUCUAGACUUUUCAAGUUGUAACUUAAAUAUGAGGUGUUAAUUCCUAUUAAUGUUGGUAUUUUAAUAUUGCUAAUUUCUUAGCCUAUAUAUAAGGCAUCUAUCAACCAAACCAAAUAUAUACUUUGUUAUCUCUAUACUACCUUCUAUUUUUCCUCCACUACUAUAAGAGGUUAUAGGACAGAGAACAGUGUUAGUGUGAGGUUUCUGUCUUGCUCCAAUAGUGUAGAUUGGAGUAGACUACAGUGUGCAAAAGGCUGGGCUGUUGUAUCCUGGAGGCGACGUGCUGAGAUCUACUACACCGGAGGAUACUCUGUAAGGACGCGAAUCGUCUUAAAGAGAGCGACUUAAUCCACGCCUCAACCCAUGCCAAAUCAACAUAUUUAUGGUACAAAUUAUUUGCAUUUUUAAUGCAAGAUUAAGGUAUGAAUUUUUGUUAAUUUAUUUGUUAAAUUUUAUUAGAGAAAUUAUUGUGACUUAUAUGAUUUAUUUUGGUCUAGAACCAACAUUGCCGGAGUAAGAUAAGACGAAGCUGCAGUGCGGUAGCCAAACAAGAAGAUUAUCUUGUCAGGAAAUACCACGGGUAAAUGGAAAAGGUGAUUUCCCACAAAUUGCCAGCAAUCAGAACUUGUUUACCACUUGACUUUGAUUAAAAUGGCGAAUAUUCAGGAUCAGCCAUGAGGUGAGCCUCCUCUCUUCUAAAUUUUAUCCCCUCUCCCCCCCCCCCCCCCCCACCCCAACACCUUAAAAAAAAGUGAAGUAAUGAGAACAGCCUAUAUAAAGGUAAGAGCAACUUGUUUACCAUUUAAAAUUACUGUAUGUCGUAGGAAAAAAAAUAAUCUAUUUGUCAUACUUGGAGGCCGUACCAAUAUUUUAGUACAGGUGCUAGGACAAUAAGUAAAUCAUGGAUUAUUUAAUGAGCAAAAUUAUUUGGAUGGCUAUCAAACUCUUGGAAUCGUCAAAUUUUGACCAUUGAACUAUUAAAUAUUUGGUUUUGACUACUAAACUAUCUAAAAUUUAAAUUUCAAGCCAUUCCGUUAGAUUUAAUCAUUAAACAUAACAAAUUUGAGUGCUUGUAUGAUUCAUGAGACAAAAAAAAAUGGACAUAUUUAAUGAUUAAAUUUGAUGGAAUAGUCUGAAAGAUAGUUCAGUCGACAAAACUCGAUGAUUUCAAAAAUUCAGUGGCCAAAACUCUACGAUUCCAAAAGUUCAGUGGCCAUCUAAAUAAUUUACUCAUUAUUUAAUUUCUCUGUAGUGGAUUCACUUACAUUUCAGUAUCAUAUAUUUAGUCAAUCCAAUAUGGCAUCCUUUGUGAAGUGUUCAUUGUUGGCAAUUUGGCAUGAAAUUUGAUUAAUGAUAACCUACAAUUUUCUCAUCAACCUUUGGUUAUAAUGACAUGUGAAUUCGAUAUCCUCUUGUAUAUGAACCAAUUGUUUUUUUUUUUUUUUUUCAAUUGGGAGGUAUCUUGACUUAGCCAAAAUUACUUGAGCGGGCCAGACUACUGCUUCCAGACUGUGAGAGUCCGCCCCAAGGAUCAUAACACGAUAGCUCCCAAAAGUCGAACCUGAGACCUGCUCCUAAAAAGGAGACUACGGAAACCAUUUGAGCUGCCGGGGGGCUUGUAUAUGAACCAAUUGCUUUUUUGUUGGGAGUGUUUUUCAAAAACUAGUUUUUCAAAUACAAUAAAAAUUUUUAAAAAGUACUCUAAAUGGCAAUCUAAAAAUUAGUUUAAAUUUUUUAAAAAUUUUUAAAAAUAUCUCAAAAUAUAUUCUAAAAACUCUUCUACUCUUAAAUAUCCCACAAUAUUUUCUGAAAAUAUCCUAAAAUAUAAUCUAAAAACUCUGCUACAGCAAAAUUUUUCAAAAGCAUCCCCAAAAAUAGCUAAUCCAAACGGAGCAUUAACAUAACUACAUUACCGGAGGGUUACUGGAAGUUUGACAACAAUCUGUUCUUGUGAGUUUUAACAUCUAUGAGUUUUUUAUUUCCAGUUUCGACGUAGUUUUUUUUUUCUUUUUUUAAAUUCAAGAAAGACUCUUAAGUUUUACAAACGGAGGAAACAAGGACUUGAAAAGUCAGCCAAAGACUUCACCGUUGCCUUAGCAAAUGUGCUAGUUUCCCUUCGUCCUAAGUUGGGAAUCGGAAUCAAUUUCGACCGCCUACGCGAUUGUGUUAGUACAAGAAUUAUUAUUGGACUGCUUUCUGGGUCACAUUUGUCUGUUGGUCUUGGGCCUAGCAUCAUUUGCAAUGCUGUCUAUUCAGCAUGGUUUCUCCAAACCCAACUAGUUUAUGUGUCGCAUUUUAGUUACAUUUACAUUUGAGUUUGGGGCUUUACAAGCAGCCUGGUUUUCGUUAAAGAGAUGAGGAAUACGAAAGAUUCGGUUCGUUGAGAUUUCCAGCGUCUCAAUAUGGGCCAAUUUUGCCACAAUUUCGGCUGUUAACAGCCCAAAUUUCUUUUCAAGUCCAUAAAAAAAAAAGGACUUCUGUGUAUGUGAAAAAGUUCCGUUCAGUAACUCUUAUUUAACAGGUAUUGUGAAUAAUCUAUAACUUGUCUGUUUUCGAAGCUUGUCUCAAGUUUCAGCCAAGAAUCAAUCAGACUUUGCAUGUAUAAUUUGAAAAAAAAAAUUGAAAAGAGGAAGAGUAUAUCAUGUUCAUGUGUUGUUUUCACUUCAAUAAUUUAGAUAGUUAGAUAUGUCAUUCACACGUGCAAAUCCCAUUGAGUGUCAAUUUCUUCCUCCAUUUUAUGUCAAUUAAUUUGUAGUAAUAUUGAGUUAUAAUUUUCACCAUUUAUGGGUUGAUGAGAAUUGCGAUUUAUUUGUAUGGUAAAAAAAAAUGUCAUUCACCCUUGUUUAAUACAUCCCUCGCCCCGGCCCAUACGUCUUGGCUUUGCAACUUUUCAAAUGAGGGGCCAUUAGCAUCCGGAAGACGCAGCUCGAUCAUUGGCGGGUGUCAACUGUCAAUGACCACAUAACAUUGAUUUUGACUCAAUCCAAAAACCAAAGUCUAAAUUUGCAUCUUGUCGCCCAAGCAAGAAGGCAAUAUAAAGCGAGGGAGGGAGGGCUGGCUGCUUGACAAUCACCUCAAGAAAUUAAGGAGCAAAAAAAUGUUGUUGAGUGAGAAGCAAGAAGCUCUGGUGAAGGAGUCAUGGGAGCUGCUGAAACAAGAUAUUCCCCUACACAGUUUUCGCUUGUUUACAUCGUGAGUAUUUUUUUUUUUUUUUUUGACAUGAUAAACUGUAUACUACAACUGCUUCUAUUCUACACUAGGAAAAGGGGAAUCUAAAGAGAUCAAGAUGGGUGUCUACGCACCCGCUAGCAAAACAUUUUUUGGAAAACCUGAAUAUUAGAAUGCAGGUCAAGAGAUUUAAUCUCUUGACCUACACUCAAAUAGAGUUUUUAAAACUCUUUUAAUAACCAACUACUCUAUAUUGUGAGUAUGCGCCACCGAUAUUUUGCUUUUCAUCAACUUUUUUACUGUCUUCAAUAACCUGAAUAUUAGAAUGCAGGUCAAGAGAUUUAAUCUCUUGACCUACACUCAAAUAGAGUUUUUAAAACUCUUUUAAUAACCAACUACUCUAUAUUGUGAGUAUGCGCCACCGAUAUUUUGCUUUUCAUCAACUUUUUUACUGUCUUCAAUAUAUAUAUAUAUAUAUGUAUAUAUAUAUAUAUAUAUAUGGUAGUAGUAAGACUAUCAUCCUUUUUAGCAUCAUUGCAUAACACUACCUAAAUCAUUAUUUUUAUGGUGAUGGUAGCUGAAUGUUUCUUUGAUUCAUGAAUAUUGUUUCUCUUCCUCCCUUGAUUAUUAGUAGUAUUUUUUUUUGGGGGGGCUAUGUUGACGGUUUAUAUUUUAUGGGGAUAUAAUAUAUGGUUAAGGAUCCUGGAGAAAGCACCAGGGGCAAAGGACUUGUUCUCAUUUCUAAGGGACACGGAUGAAAUUCCACAGAACAAUCCCAAGCUCAGGGCACAUGCUGCCAAAGUUUUCAGGCUGGUAUGUUGGCGUGCUUCAUUUCAUGUUUUCAUAAUUGUAAUUCUUGUACACUUUGAGAAAUGGCUAUAUAUUUGUGUAUAUAUCAAGCUUUUCUCGUCUCUCUCUCUCCAUAGCUAUGUAUAAACGACUCAUGUUCAUCAACUUGCGUAUAUAGUAUACACUGCCAUAAAUAAUCUAGAAUGGAAGUAUCUGCAUUGUAUUUAAUAUUAGUUGUUGCAGUUCUACUUGUUAGUCGCCCCAUUUGGUCCAAACACUAUUAGGUGGCUUCUAAAAGUUGAACAUAUUAGGUGGCUUCAAUCUACCUUGAUUCAUUCUUUUAUACUUCAUCAUUUUCUAAUGCCCAACACUAUUCAUUUUUAUUUAAUUUGUCCCUAGACAAAUUUUUAUCACCAACAACUGUGUCUAUUCUCUCCCUAAUUAUUGACUAUACUAUUUCUCCAGUUUUUCUUUUGACGGUCAUCAACAAAGAAUUGCGUAACUGCUGAUCCAAAUCUGACAAGAAAGAAACCACCAAUUACACCCUCACAGUGUAAUCUCAUGCAUCUAUCUAUCAACAUCGAAAUUCAAAAGAAAGGCAUCAAGCAAUGAUUAAACGGACAUGUCACACAUUGAUCUACAAAAUUUUAAAGCUUGCCAAUCUUGAAGAGAGAUAAGAAAACCAGAAGAGCAAAACGUACUAAUCAAAUCACUCAUUGGUUUAGUUUAAGAGAUCGAGCAUAAUUAACUAGAAGAAAUGGGCGAAGAUUUCCAUUUCUGAAGCACUUGCAAUGGCUGGAAGCUAGCUAGGUCUCAACUUCCUUCCUUCAGAUUGUCAUUAAUGUUCAUUACAAGGAUGUAUUUAUCUCCAGCAAGUAGUUUAACGAAAUCUGACGAGGUUAAUUGUAUACGACAUUAGACUUGCGAAUCAGUGGUGCAGCUGCGUGAGAAGGGCGGAGUGCUGAUUGGCGAUGCUACUCUCAAGUGGCUGGGAUCGGUUCAUCUCCAGAAUGGAGUCCUUGCGCCCCAUUUCGAGGUACUACCUACUAGGCCUAGUUCUGAAGCUGUCUGCAGUCCCAUUCUUAUACCUCUUCAUAAACUUUCAAGAAGUUUACACUAAUUAAUCUGCAUGCUUAUGUAUAAUAAAGUUUUAUUCCUUAAUUUAUUAAAAUUUGAUUCCUGCAUGAGACGUACGUAGAUGGUAAAAGAAGCACUGCUGAAAACGAUCGAAGAGGGCGUGGGAGAAAAAUGGAGCGAGGAAAUGGAGAAUGCAUGGGGAGAGGCCUAUGAUCACUUGGCAGCAGCGAUUAUAGGUGAGAUGCAAGCAGAGGCUGCUGCUUCAUCAAAGCCCGUUCCUUAACAUCGAUAACGUAUAAUCUACAAAGGAUGUCUUUACUCUUUAGUGAAAGCCUCAUCUGUGUGUCGUAUAUAACUCCCGGGAGAGGCUUCUGGAUAGUCCUUAAUGCGUUGUAAGAAUAAAUGAUAGUAAUAAGAAUAGAGCAUUUACCAGUGCAACGGAUCUUCUGUCCCAUACCCUGUGCCGCUCUCUGUCCCACUUUUUAUUAUAUUAUUAUUUUUCAUAUAUAAACAUCACGUUUAAGUUCUUUUUUGUUUCCUUAAAAUUUAAUAAUUAUUAAUUGAGUAAAAUAUAAAUACAGUAGUUUCAAAAAAGUAAUAUAUAAUAGAAAAUUAAAAAACAUAGCAGAAAAUUCAUAAAAAAUAUCAUUUUUUAUGCAUUUUGGUUUUUUGAGUUUGUUAAAUUUUGUGUAUUACUCAAUUAAUAGUUAUUGGAUUUUAAAGAAAUAAGAAAGAACUUAAACGUGAUGUUUAUAUAGGAGAAAUAACAAUAUAAUAAAAAAUGAGACAAAGAGUAGCACAGGGUGUAGAACAGAAGAUCCAUUGCGAUUUACCAGUGAUGAAUAAUAGAAGCAAGAAGUGGUCCAAAAUAAUCAUGGAAUGUAUCGACUAAAUUUUACUACAUCAUGAAGAAAAAAUUGCAGACUGGACCACAGUGUUCCACAUCUCAUUGUCAUGACUGAGUGUUCCACAAUCUACAUGAUACUAAUAUAUUUGUAAAAACCAUCCGAAGGAGCCCGGUUGGAUUUCUGCACCGACUGAAUUGAACUGCUUAUUAAAAAUGGUUUGAGGUCUGAUUAAUUCUCUGCGGCUUCAAAUCUUCGUUGUCUCAUUCUCUUCAACUAGGCAACAAGAAAAAAAAAAUCGACAUUUAAUUUGUUUUUCUCUCCUUCUACCUGUACAAAUACAAUUGUGGAUUGGAUAUGCAUCACACGUCCAGGUAGCUGACCGGUCAGCUUUGCCCCAUGAGAAAAUUAACUGAGGAUUAUUUAAGUUUUCUGUAUAAUGGAUUUACAUUUUUAUUUUUUUAGUAUGAAGUCAAUCAGAAGAGGAUGAGUUCAAUCCAGUAGGCCAUCUCCUUUAUGAAAUGGUACGUGUCUUGGCCGGAAAAUUGAGUCAAGAUAUUAAUGUAUUUUAUUAUGCUACUAUAUUAUAUCGUCCAACAUUUCGUUGUAUAUAUGACAAGUGCACUGGGAUCCCAUUAAAAUUAAGCUCUUGCAUCUGCAGAAGAGACAUACGUGUCGUGUGAUGCAUUCAGACUAUCAAUCACCACAAGGCUAUUAGGUGUUUGACAGCAACCCAUUCUUGGGAAUUGAAAUUUACUUUAGUCGACAAGAUCAAUUUCAACGGUGUACGUGAUGUGAUCAUCCUAUAAUACAAAAAUUGGUGUGUGGACUCCUUGUGGGUUGAAAAAGCAAUCGAGCUACUCAACAUUGGAAUCGAAUUCGACUCGAUAAGGGUUUAUUCGAAUUUGAUCUGUCAAUUAAUUAUGCCAUAAUUAAACAAUAUUUUGUGUUUAGUAAACUUUUAAAUUUAAUUUGAAUUUGAAUUGAUUGAUAUAAAAUUAGAAUUUACAAGUAAAAAAUUUGAGCUACUUGAUAUUUAAUUUCGACUCUGUGAAUAAACAUAUCAAAUCUGAAUAAAAAAAAAAACUAAGUUUGAACACGAUUUUAAACUUGUUAAAAUAAUCAAAUAAAUUUUAAGCAUUAAAAUAUUCGAUUUAAUUGUGCUCAUUAUCACUCCUAUGACUCCGUGCUUUGAUCCGCUUUGUCUGUUGGGCUUGGCCCUAAACUUCAUAUAAAUGUACGUCGAAACCCAAAUGAUUAAUGCUUUGUGUUUUAGUUGUUACUUUCAAAUCUGGGCUUCUACAAGCACGCUGAUUACACAAUGGAGAUAGCCUUAAGGAAAAGUUGAAAUUUCUAAUAUUGUCUGAACAUGGGCCAAUGGUCUCCCAGAGUUUCGGCUAUUUAUUUAUUAACCUUUUUUUUUUUUUUUUUUGUCUUUGUUCUAAAGAAUUGACUUCUUCUGUAAUUAAAAAAGCAACUGAUCUCUUGAGUAGCCCUAUCUAAAAAGGGAAACAGGAUACUACGUGAUAAUAGGGAGUGUGUUUGCAUUGAAGAUUAUUUGGAAUAAUUUUUUUGAAAAAAUGUUAUAGUUAUAUUUUAUAUGAUGUGAGAUAAAAAUGUAACUGAUUUAAUAAAAAAUAAUUAAAAAUAUAUUUAUAAUGCAAUCAAAUAAUUAUAAGAACCUAUCCAAGCACACCAAAGUAAUGAUUUCCAAGCUUGCUUUAACUUUUAGCUAACAAAACUAAGUACACCGUGUACGCAUAUGUAACCAAAAAAAAGGGAAAAAUAUAGUAGAGUAAUUCUUAUGCACAUUGACAUUGUAUAUACUGUCACGAUUAGAUACAAGAUACAUAUGCAAAAUUUAAUUUUUAAAUUCGAAUUUAAGUUAUGUGUCAUACAUCCAAAGAUGAAAAUAUAUACACUGUCAGCGUAUAGAGGAUUAAUUCAAUAUAUUAUGGAUAGUUUUGGCAGCAAUGAUUUGUGAACAACCUUCUUGUGUCUUCACUUUCUGCAUUUAUUUCGUCUUCAUUUUUUAAUACAAUUUGCGAAAUCACCCGGACAAAGAUCGAAAAACGACGGCUGGAUCUUUUGCAGGUGUGUACCACAUAUGAUCUGGCCAACAAAUGAUGCCAACAUCAAGCUUCCGGAAACCAUCCAAAAGUCUCUUGCCCAUUGCACCUCGUAUAUCCGUGUGAAUAUGAUACCUUAUCUCUCAAAACCCAAUAUAAAGCGAGGGAGCGGCUAUUAUACAAUCUGCUCAAAAAAGUUCAGGGAGAGGAGCAAAAAUGGCGUUGACUGAGAAGCAAGAAGCUCUGGUGAAGGAGUCCUGGGAGCUGCUGAAACAAGAUAUUCCUCGACAUGGUUUUCGCUUAUUUGCAUUGUAAGUGUGCACCAAGAGUUUUCGUCCAAUUUCUGGUGUGCAUUCUUUUAAUUUUUUUUUUUUUUUUUUUGAUAACAAGAAAGUAGUGGGAUUUAAGAAGCGGGAAAGGAAAUGAAAGGCAUUUGAAUUUAAAAUUUCUAAUUCUUGACCUCUCAACUAGUAUAACUAAUGGAUCAAAAUCUCCUCGUCGAAUUUCUAGUUUGCAUUAUUGUAACUUUGUUUGAGUGUAUGUGUAUGUACCUAAUGCAGAAGAUGUUGCUUGUACCCGGUAAGAAAAUGGUUUAACAAGUUGAUGUUCUUCCAUAUAUAAUACUACCUAAACCACUAUUUUAGGAUCAUCAUAGCUGGAUAUUAAUUUCUCUGAUUCAUCAAUAUAGUUUCUCUUCCUCCCUUGCUUAAUUUCUUUUUUUUUUUUUUGGGUUACGGGCUAUAUGAUCAAGGAUCCUCGAGAUCGCACCAGGGGCGAAGGACUUGUUCUCAUUUCUAAGGGACACAGAUGAAAUUCCAGAGAACAAUCCCAAGCUCAAGGCACACGCUGCCAGAGUUUUCAAGCUGGUAUGUUGGCUUAAUUCAAUUUAUGCUUUCAUUUUCGUAAUUAAUUUUUGCCCACCAGCCGAAAUGGCUGAAUCGGUUCAAAAUUCAAAUGACAAACUAUUUAUCGAAAGAGACUUUCACUACCUCGUUAUGUGUGGAUAUACUACAUAUAAUUCCCCUGUUCCUUCUGAUGGGUAAUAACCAAAAAUGAUUGAACGGUUGAUUGAAGCUGACUAGAAUCCACCAACCACACUCUCAUAAUUUAAUUUCAGGCAUCUAUCUAUUGAUUUGGAAAUUCGAAAGAGAAGCAUCGAGCAAUGAUUAACACGGACACGUACAAGUUUAACGGGUUAUCAUUCUUGGAGAGAUUAGAAAAGCAGGAGAAAUAGGUAGUAAACUAUACCGUCUAUAGUUUAGUCUACAAGUGCAGAACAAAAGUUAAAGAUAAACAUUUCAAUUGAAGACCGCUUGCAAAUUGAUCAUGCAUAUAUUGCUGUAAAUGUCCAUUACAGUAAUGAUUAUCUAUCUCUAUCAGUUAGUCAACUAGAAAUAUGACAAGGUUGUAUACAACAUUAGACUUGCGAAUCAGCAGUGCAGCUGCGCGAGAAGGGUGAAGUGGUGGUUGCCGACACUACUCUCAAGUGGUUGGGAUCUGUUCACCUCCGGAAAGGAGUUCUUCAACCCCAUUUUGAGGUAAUGGUUCUAAAGCUGGCUGUACUAUUUUAAUCUCCAGAACUGCAAGAAGUGUCCAGCAUUAACAUUAGUAUGUGCGUGAUUAUGACAUUCCAACCUUAAGUCAUAAAUAAGUAAAAGUCUUCAAUUUAUUCAAAUUUCAUCACGAAGCAAUUGAUGAAGAGAUUUAAAGUGUGAAGUUUACGCGAGACAUAGGUCGUGAAAGAAGCAUUGCUGAAAACGAUCGGAGAGGGCGUGGGAGAAAAAUGGAGCGAGGAAAUGAAGAAUGCAUGGGGAGAAGCCUAUGAUCACUUGGCAGCAGCAAUUAUGGGUGAGAUGCAGGUUGAGGCUGCUGCUUCAUCAAAGCCCAUUGCAUAACUGCCAAAGCAAAAUCUACUGCAAGAAUCUGUGUGAAGCUUCAUCUGUGUAGGCGAGGCUUCUGUGACAGUGCUCAUUGCUCAAUCAACGCAUGCAUGCGUUAUUGUAAAAAUUGGCAUGUCGAUUUAAUAUAUAUAUAUAUAUAUAUAUAUGUAUGUAUGUAUAUAUCAAAAUGGAAAGACUACUGGUAGAGGUUUGGCCAUUAUAUACAUUAGGGAACAAGGUACAGUCUACAUUUGUUCGAUUCUUAAAAUUUGUACGAAGGUGAAACAAAUAAAACUAACAUAAUUUUUAUGCCACUGCAAAAGAAAGAAAUAAAAAGCACUACAACAAGGAAAAUUUCCAAAAUCAACUCCAUUUAUUUGAACUUGUUUUUCGUAAACCUGUUUUUACAUAAUUUAGAAAACAUGUUUUACUGUCACGCUUUAACGCACAGAUAAUUAAUUGGUGACAUCGACAGGAUGUUGCAUCGCAAGGUCUUCCAGCUAAGUCAUUUCUUCUUCUUCUUCUUUUUUUUUAAUUAUACCAGCGUGUCACAUCAAAAUUUAAAAAUUCAUACAAUCAAAAUUCACCGACACAAUAUCGGCCCUGUUUGGAAGCUUGGUUUUUUACCAAGUUUGUAUAAAACUAGUUUUUUAACAACUUUUGCUACAGGAACCCCAAAAAACUUAUCAAAAUUUUUAACCUACACACUUAAAAUAUCCAAAACACAAAAAAAAAAAAAAAUCCCCUUCCCCUUUUCUUCUUCUUCCUCCCCCACCACCACCUCCAUUGCCGGCUCCAUCACCAAUUUCCGGUGCCGGUGCGGUCUUUUUUUUUCCCUUUUUUUUCCCUCUCCCCCUCUUCCUCCCCUACCAUCAUCCUCUCUUGUCUUUUUUUUUUCUCUCUACGUCCGGCGCAGAGGGGGGUGGCAUUGAUUCCUUCAUAGACUUCAACUAUUUCUAGCCUAUAUGUGAAUGUAACCAUUUUGUUAUAUUUGUCCUCAGGAAGAUGAGAUAAAAUCUUGGAAGAAAGGAGGUAACGGGGAAGAAGAAGAAGAAGAAGAAGAAAAAAAAAAAGAGAAAAAAAAAGAAAAAAGGAAAGAAAGAAAAAGAAAAAGAAAGGGAAAGAAAAAAAAAAGUUUUUCACCUUACAAAAACUUCUACAAAAUUUUUCACCUUACAAAAAUUUCUACAAAAUUUUUUUAAAAACUUCUACAGUGCACUACAGUAAAGUUUUAGACAAACUCCAAAAAAACUCAGGGCUUGUUUGGAAGCUAGUUUUUUGCCUAAGUUUUUUACCUACUAGUUUUUUAACAACUUUUGCUACAGGAACCUUAAAAAACUUCUCAAAGUUUUUUAUCUACACACUUAAAAUAUCCAAAACAUAAAAAAAAAAAAAAAAUCCCUUCUCCUUCUUUCUUCUUCCUCCCCACCGAACCCACCACCUGCAUUUGAGCAACCUCUCAACAGCCUCUCUAUAAACUCCAUCGCCUCUGAACGCCCCCAUCGCCAAUCCCACAUCCCCGCUUUGCUCCUCCGUCUCACUCCCUCCUUCGCGACCACCACAUCCACUAGCAUUUAUGGGCCUCACAACAACCAACGUCGCCCCUUCCAAUUUCACCCCAUUUGAUAGCUCCAUCCGCGCCUCGUGCUUUAUCCUCAUCCUAAUUGCAGGCACAGUCGUCCGGGGGGAGAGGAGUGGCGGGGGCAGAGGGGGAAGGGGCUGAGGGGGUGGCGGGAGAAGAGUUGCAGGGUAGAGGGCGGCGGAAGGGCUGAGGGAGUGGAGGGAGAGAGGGAGAAAGGAUGCCGUGCUGCAUAGGGAGUGGCGGGGAGGAUGUAUGAGGCGUGGCCGUCCAAGGGGCGCGGGCAGAGGGGGCGUAGGAACGGGGAAAGGAGUGGGAGGGGGGGUGGUGGAGAUAGGGGAGGAAAGGGUGGUGGCGGGGGAGGGAGAGGGAGGGGGAGAGCGAGAAAAGAAAAAAAAAAAAAAGAGAGGUGGUGCUAGCAGAGGAGCGGAGGUGGGAGGCAGAGGUAACGGGUAAGGGGAAGAAGAAAAAGAAGAAGAAGAAGAAGAAGAAGAAAAAUGAAAGAAAGAAAAAGAAAAAGAAAGAGAAAGAGAAAAAGAAAGAAAAAGAAAAAAAGAAAAGGAACAAAAAAUUCACCCUACCAAAACUUCUACAAAAUUUUUCACAUUACAAAAACUUCUAUAAAAAAAUUUUUUACCUUACAAAAACUUCUACAAAAAUUUUUUAAAAACUUCUACAGUGCACUACAGUAAAGUUUUAGACAAACUCCCAAAAAACUCAGGUUCCAAACAGGCCCUCAGAUUCCAAACAGGCCUAUCAUUUGCGUAAUGGACAUGUUUGAUUAAUUGGCUCGGAACGUAGGCUGCAGUACCUUUUUGCCAUGUGGCCGAAGGCCACUGACUGCUCGAGAGAGAUCGGGCCCACCAGGAUGAACAGUCUAUUGGGUAGAGUAGCGAACAGUGCCCGGAGGCAUUGUUGAAAUUUGAAUUUAAAUUGAAAUUCGCCAGGUGCCAAAUUGUGGCCAAGCCAAGAAAUGAAUUGACACCUACAAUGGUAAGCUCGAUCAGUCUUGAGCAUUAGUCUAAAAGAACUUUAUGUGGUCAUUUUGUUAACGAAAAAAGAAGAUAAAUUUCAGAUGAUAAGAAAUAAAACAAAUAUGAAACGCAAAAGUUUCGGGGUUUGGAUUAGCCACUACAAUCAAAGAUGCAUAGGCGGUCAAACUUUUCAACAAGUUUUGUCACCCACUUCUAUUAACUAAAUAGGGUCCGUUGAGUAAGCAUAAUUGACAAAAAAAAAAAAAAAAUUAUUCAACUUACAUCAUAAACAUAAUUUUCAAACACCUUUUUAGCUCAUAUAUAUUACAUUACAAAAAUAUUACAAUGUUAUUCGAAACAAUUUUUUCAAAUAAUCUCCUAUCCAAUCUACCAUCAUUUUCAUCGACAUCUCGUCGCUUUAUUAUUAUCCAAUCAUGUAUCGUUAUAAGUUACUUAAAAGUGAUUAAAACUAGUCCUUCAGUGCGUGCAAUAGGACUGAUUGGAGAAAGAGAAGCAUAAGAUGCAAGUCAGGAGUUAUCCAGCUAGUACCUUAAUUAUAUUAACGAAUCCCUCAAACUAAUGUGUGACAAACAAAUUCCAUUCAUGAAUUUAACAAAUCUUUCCUUUUAUGAGUAACUCCUCAAUCUAAAUUCACAGACUCUUCCUUGAACCGCUUUUAUGUGUAACUCCUCAAUCUAAAUUCACAGACUCUUCCUUGAACCGCCUUAAUUAAAGAUUCAAGAGUGUCUCUUUUACAACUCAUGGAUUCCCUUUCUUCAAUAUCUAAAAGAAUUAUGGACCUCUGUUAAACUCUUCGCUUCUUGACAUAGCCCUCGUGACCCCUGCCAGACUUUUGGUACCUUUUAGUCCAACGCUAAAAAACAUGGAACAAUUUAUUGGUCCAUCACUGCCAAAAAAAGCUACUUGCCAAAGAGUAGUUUAAGCUCAUAACAAAAAGUUCUAAUUUCUUAGACUGAUUAAACUGAUGAAGGUGGCUUUUUGGGCUAAUUUCUUAGAAUAUUUGUAUUAAAAAAAAAACCAACCGUCAAAUACACCUCUGACAUGAGAUAUUUCUCAUUCUAUAGCUGUCGUGCUGACUCAGCACGACAGCAUAAUUAAAAAUACCCCUGCAAUCUCACUGCAGACGUCUGCAAAAAUUUCAGUGGGGCAACCGUUGUCAGACGCAGACAUGCUGACUGGGCACGUCUACGGCCGACACAAAUCAUUACUUUCAAAUGUCAAAUGCAGACAUGCUGAUUCGGCACGUCUGCAGCCGACACAAAUCAGUGGCAGUCUGUUUGUGUCAGACGCAGACAUGCCCAGUCCGCACGUCUGCGUCUGACAUUUGAAAAAAAAAGUUGAUGCAUUGCCAUUUAGAACGUCACAUAAGCUGGGGGAUGGAAAUGACCUUCAUCGUUAAAAAUGGAAAGCAUCCGUAGGAAAAAUUGCUGCCUCCACCUCCCGACAUGCCACUUUGCUAAUGUUGCUUAGACAAAAUAUUACAAGUCUUGGAAUACUAUGGUUUGCAGCGGCUCUAAAGUCAGCUUGUCAGUGAGACACAAAAAUAAUGUAAACUAUGAAUGACACAAAGAAUCCGGUUUCCAACUACGGUUUCUUUCUUUAGUAUUUGCAAGUAAUCUUAAGUAGAUGGUGUGACUUCAGUCUCGUGAAUAAUAGUUUUUGGCACCUUCAAGAAUGAUACAAAAAAAAAAAAAGAAAUAAAUCCAUGCAUCAAAUGCAGGAUGUAAUAUGUUACUAAAGAAAAAAAAAAUGCUUAAUACGUUAUUUUAGUUCCUUUUUUUUUUGUUUAUGUUUGAUUACAUUUUGAAUGAAAUCAAGUUUACACUUUAUUGUGUAAUUCAUUGUGUUUCAAUUACGGUGGUAAUUAUUAAUACAAAAGAACCUUCAGUUAUCUUUAGUUAUAUUUGUAUAAUGAUGACAAUAAGUAUAAAACAAAAAACUUCCUAACUAAAACUCUUUAUCCACCCAGAGUUGGUAAAAAAUAUAUUAAUACUAUUGAAAUAGAUUGAUACUGACGAAUACAAAGAAAAUAUGAAUCAAAAUCAAAGAAAACAAAAACUACAAAUCAACAUAAACGAAAAAAAAAUUACAAAUAGGAUUAAAAGAAAAGAAUGAAAAGGAUAAACCCACCUGCAUCUUUGCUGAUGAAGUUGCAAUUACGAAGAUGAACAGCCAAUUAGGAAUAAUUAAGGUGGAAUUUUUUUGUCCCAUUAUUAACAAAAGUGAACACUCAAAAAAUUAAUACUAUUGGCUGCUCUGACGCUCAAUGUCUCCGUAUAUUGUUCUCCUUUAACACUUUUUUUGUAUAAAAAGCAUAGUAUUACGUUUUUACUAUAACAAAAAUAUGAGUAUUCAAUUAUUUUGGUUAAAUAUUAUAGAUCAAUAUUUGAUUCGUCAAAGUUUGAGUUAUAAAUUAUUUACAAUAGUUCAAAAAAUGUUUUAAAAUUAUAUUAGAUCCAUAGUUUCAAUGUAAAUAAUAUUUUCAAAAACCACUUUAAAGAAAAAAUUAUAAAGUUAACGUGUUAACAAUCAAUAUUUUACAAAAUACCUUAUUGAAAUGGACAUAUAAAAUUUUGAGAGAAUAUAAUCAUGUGCAAAGCACUUGAGGUAUUACUAAUAUAGCAAAUCUAAAAAUAAAUUGAUGUAAAAAAUCAAUGAAUAUAAUAAUAACAUUGCAACAUCAAAACAUAUUCCAUCCAUCUUGAUUAUUAGUAGUACAACCCAAUAAAUCUGUGCACGUGUUUUACUUGUUAGACGUGAUGAAAGAAUACAAGACCAAAUAGAAACUUAGAUCUGAUGUAAAAGAUGUAAUAAAUUCCAGUCCAAAAUCAUUAGCACUAUCUAAAAUCACUAUUUUAGGCUCGUGAUAGCUGAAUAUUGUGUCUCUUUCUUCCUUGAAUAAUUUCUUUUCUCUUGCCAAUUUCACGGUUAAUAUCUUGUUGCUACAUGGUUAAGGAUCCUGGAGAAAGCACCAGAGGCAAAGAACUUGUUCUCAUAUCUAAGGGACACCGAUGAUCCACAGAACAAUCCCAAGAUCUGGGCACAUGCUGCCAAGGUUUUCAAGAUGGUGUGUUGGCUCAAUUCAUUUUCUGUUGUCAUUUUCGUAAAUUUUGCCCGACUUUGCGAAAUGGCUAAAUGGAUAUUACCAUAAGCAACAAUAAUAAAUUUAUGUUGUCAUUUCUUGUCUUCCACCAUCCCUAUAAACAACGAGUGUUCAAUUGUUCAUCAACCUGGCGUAUGCUACUACCACAACAGGAAAGGUUGUUUUUAAACUGAAAAAAAUAAACAUUGGGUCGUGUCUAUCUUCCAUGAUUUGUUGGUAUUCCAUUUUUAUGCUUCAUCAAUUUUAAAAGCACCAUAACUUUUAAGACUUUUGGCUCUGAAUCUUCUUCUUUGUUUACUAGUAUUUUUUUUUUCUCUGAAGAGCUAUACCCUUGAACAAUUUUUUUCAUUAUCUCGUUGAUGAUGGUUUCCACUUUUUCCUCUACAAGUAUGAUGGACUAUAUGGGUGCAUAAUGCACUUAUAUGAUCCGAUGGUGAUUCAGUUCCCGUCGAUUUUCCGUGGUUCUGUUGGGUUAUCCCCUAGAGUAGGUUAAAGUAGGAGUAGAUAGAGGACGACAAUUGAUUAAAAAAAAAAAGUAUGAUGGACCAUAUUGUUUAUUCUCCUAUUGUGAACUGUUGAUCCAAAUCUGACAAAGACCACCAAUUACACUCAUAAUUAUAUUUCAGGCAUCUCUAUCUGUCGAUAUUAAAAUUCAAAAGAGAAGCAUUCAGCAAUGAUUAACAUGGGCAUGUACAAAUUUAACGGGUUGUCAUUCUUGGGGAGAUUAGGAAACCAGUAAAGCAAUACGAGUAAUUAUUGUUUAUGGUUUAGUUUACAUGUGGAUACCAAAAUUAAUUGGUGAAGAUAUUCCACGUACUUGAAAGCACUUGCAGUGCUUGGAAGCUAGAUCUCAAGAUCCUGCAAAUUGUUAUGGAUAUAUAUUUAAGUAGAAAUCUGACAAGGUUGUAUUGUACACGAGAUCAGACUUGCGAAUCAGUAGUGCAGCUGCGUGAGAAGGGCAAAGUGGUGUUUGCCGAUACUACUGUCAAGUGGUUGGGAUCUGUUCAUCUCCAAAAGGGAGUUCUUAAAUUCCAUUUUGAGGUACCACUAGUUCUAAAGCUCUGUCCUAAUGCUAAUAGUGGUGUCUCUUGAAUUUUGAUGGAGUGUAACUGAUAGAUAUAUUAAUUAUAUGCUAAUGUGGAAAUACAAAAUCCAUUCUUGAUCAUAAUUUAACAAGCAAACAUGUAGGAAUCACUUCAUUCAAAGUUUUUAUUACGAAGCAAUUAAUAAAGAAAGUAAUAAAUUUGUCAAUUUUACGUGAGACAUAGGUUGUGAAAGAAGCAUUCCUGGAAACAAUCCAAGAGGGCGUGGGAGAAAACUGGAGCGAGGAAUUGAAGAAUGCUUGGGGAGAAGCCUACGAUCACUUGGCAGCAGCAAGUCAAGGUGAGAUGGAGGCAGAGGUUCGUUAACGUCCAGAUGUAAAAUCUAUGCAAUGACCAGAAAUGUUUGUGCCGGCGCGUGGUAUCUUUUUUUUUUUUUUUUUUUGAAACGAUAUUUGAUUUUAUUGAUGUCAAAAGCUGUAUAAUUGCGAGCCAGGGUUUGAGUUGAAAAUAAAGUCAGUGAACUUGACACUAACGAAGUAAGAUUUCCUCGUCUAGCGUAAUACCUAAGGCAAAAGAGUUAAUCUUAGAGAUUAUAUGAUUCUUAUCACUUCUAACUAAACAAAAGGAGCACAUUUGAAACACCACUCUUAAUUGAAGAAUAUCUUCCAUCAAAAUCUGUUGUUGGCAAGAGUGUGGUAUCUGUUUAGUUAAAAUUAUUGCAUGAAGUAAAUUUGUAUUUGUUGAUUUGAGUUGCAAAUUUUGAUUGUUUUAUAAGCAAAUUAUGCAUUUUUUCUGGGUUUAUUUUUUAUUGUUUAAAUAAAAUUUUUGGAUAUUUUAAAAAAAAUAUUAUGGUUGUUAUCUAAUUGUAAUUUUUUUACCAUCUUUUUCUUAUGAGAGUUACUAUUUUAGUUUUUCUUUCAUGCUUUUUGUUAAUUUCGUCCUGAGCCUUUGUGUUUUUUCUGGAGCAAAUAGUUGUAUGUCAGUAUGGCCAUUAUCUUUUUGCUAUUUUUGCUUGCGAAAUGUUGGCAAAAGACAAAUUUGAAUUGCUCUUUGGAAACUUCGUUUUUGAGUGAAGAAAUAGCUCAAGGACAGGAUUUAAAUCUUCCAACGCAAACCAAAGGAAGUUUACAAAGAAAAAAGUAAUAGACAUGUCCAAAAAGGCACCAAAUAGCUGAUCAACAAAACAAUAUAACAGGAAAAACUUAAGACAGUGACUUAAAGCUUAGAGAUAAGUAAAAAUAAGAUAAAAAAAAAAAAAAAGAAGAAGCAACAGGCAAGAAACCAAACAGCAACAAAGAUUGAAUGUAAUGUACACACUAUGUAUAAUAUAUAGUGAUGUACAUACUAAAGAUGCAUAAAGAAAACAAAAGAAAGGCGGGAAGAAAAAGUGGAAAACCUGAAGAAGCAGGUUGAAGUUAAAAAACCAAUGCAGAUGAAGAGAAAAGAGCAAAUGUCUUCUGGCGCUCUUUUUUCCCCCAGUAAAACUGAAACCAAAUACUCCCUCCGUCCCACUUUGAUAGUUCUGUUUUCCUUUUUCGUCUGUCUCAAAUUGCAGUCCACUUUUCAAUUGAAAAAUGUAGUCGUAUUUUAAUUUUUCUAAAAUACCCUUAUUCAAUAUAAGUUGUUGCUACUAUAAACUUACCUCAUUUAAUGAGAGUUGAUUCUUUUUUAACCAUCAAUUCAAGUUCCCAUAAUGUUGUACCAUAUUUAAUAUGGGGGUAUUUUAGAAAAAUAGCAAUCUAAAUUUAUUUUUUCAACAAAGCUAACUACUUUUUUUUUAAACUGUGUGAAAAAAGAAACAGGACUAUUAAAGUGGGACGGAAGGAGUAUUAGGGUUGAGUGAUAAGCAAAUCCCUAAUUGGUCCGUGGAACUUGAACCUGGAGAUUGGGCUUUUCCUUUGCCAAUGGGAUGGGAGUUGCCGAAUGGCAGUAUUGGGUAGAUUUAAGCUCAAGCCGGGGUCCACGCCAACGACUGAUUGCCCAAUCUAGCACUACCGACAUACAUUACGAAAUAAAAUAUAGCCAACGACUGAUUGCGCGCAGAACUUGACUGAUUGCGCGCAGAACUUGACUGCAAAUUUAUGCACAGAAUCAUGACUAAACUAGGGCUUGUUCUCGGUUGUUUUAAAUUUUACAAAAUCUGAUUAUAGAGAAUAAUCAGAAUUAGCAAAAAAUACUCUUUAAAUGAUUAUAGUUUUUAGCUUUUUAUUGAUUUAAAAAAUCGAUAAUCAAAAUGCAAAAAAAUUAAGAACAUCAUAAAAAUUGAUUAUCUAAAAUCAGUAUCUGUCAUCAACCGAGGAGAAGCCCUUAUUCAAUUAGUUGGUGACGUAGAUAGUACUCAUAUUAAUUGGCAGUUUGCAAGGUCUUCCAGCUAAGUUAUUGCGAUCCUAUAGUCAUAUAAUUUUUUUUAAAAAAAAAAAAAUUGCUGCAAUGAAAAUUCACCAGCAUAUGUGAUGAUAUAUAUCUUUGUGAAAGCUCCAAUGGCCACCAAGCCAAGGAACUUAGGGCUGCAAACGAACCGAGCGGUUUGGCUCGCGAGGGCCUCGAGUCAAGUUCGAGGUCGAACUCGAGUUCAAAAUAUUAAACUCGUUAGGCUCGCGAGCUCGAGUAUGUAUAUAUAUAUAUAUAUAUAUAUUAUUUUAAUAGUAAAAUUACAUAUAUUCUUAAUAUUUUAUUAUUUAUUAAGAAAAAAGUAUUAUUUUAUUUAUUUUUUAAAAAAUAAAAUAAUUAUUUUUUAUUUUUUCGAGCUCGAGCUCGAGUUUGGCUCAAAUCGAGUCAAGUUCGAGCUCGAGUUUUAAAUUGUUAGCUCGUCAAAUUCGAGUUCAAUAAAAAUAAGUCAAGACUCGACUCGAUUAGGUCAAAACUCGACUCGACUCAUUUGCAGCCCUACAAGCAACGAAAGAUAUUAAUUGAAGUGGGGAAUGGGAGUGGACGCGGAAUGGUAAACAGACUUAAUCUUGGACGCUCAUCCAAAAGAACUUCAGGGGGUCGUUUUGUAAACCACAAGAGCAAAUAAACACUCCAAUUUUCAACUGAUAAUAAGAUACAAAGCAAAUUUGAAGCGGGGGUUGGAUUAGCCACUACAGCCGAAGGCGCCUACACGGUGAAAUUGAUUUGUACCUUAGAUCUGCACGGUGAAAUUAUGAUUUGUUUUCUGAAACUCUGCAUAGUAUAUAUUGGUUUUUUCUUUUUUAGCUUUCAUACUCGAGAGAAUGAUAUUGACAAAAUACGGACGAAACUUAUUUAUGUACCUUGGAUUGGCGCAGCAACUACCGUGAAAUGGCGAGCCAGCAGCCAAGGAGUAGGACCAAGCAAGGUGGUCGCGCGACUGGACUACCAAACAUUCAGAUUAUUAUCAAUAAAUAAAGUCCGUAUUGUCUCUAGUUGGAUUCAACUUUAAGACUUUGAAUCUUCAAACUGUCCAAGGCUGAAUUACACAUGCAUGGGAAAUUCAGACUUCAGAGUUUCAGUGCGGACGGAUUCAGUAAAUAAAUUUCCGUAUAUAUAUGGCCACCACCAAAAAAGCAUUUAAGGUUUGGUAAGGCUUGGUGAGACGAGGAGUCAGGAUUCAAACCUUAUUUCUUAUUAUUUACCAAUAAAAUGUGACGGGUCACUUUAAGUGGAUGCGUAGUACACUGGUUUGGGUCGAUAGAUGGUUCAAUUUCCUUCGAUUUUCUUUUGAAUCUCUUCAGGUCCCCUUUUCUAUAGUAUAAAAUAAAUGUAGAUCUAUCGUGUCUGGCAAAAAAAAAAAAAUAAAUAAAAAAUCAGGGAUUGGCAUUCAUGCAAGCAUGUCCAAGUCCAUGAGGUCAUUCAUGAUUCAACCUAUAUGCAAUUGACCAUUACCAAAGGGCGGGGAUGAGCAAGGGAACCCAUUUGGUCAAGGUAGGUAGCCACCAUAAGCCCACACAAAUCUAAUCAAUCCAACAAGAAUUAGUCAUUACUCAUUACUAAUUAUGGUCUAGAAGCUAUCGCGAUGAUCUUCACAGUUUGGCCAGUGGCCUGUGGCAUUUGCUGUAUAAGAUGUUACGUGCAGGUCGAUUGCUAUUGCUAGGCUGGGAGUGUCGAUUUCUUGCCAAAAGUUGCUCAUCAGGACCAUUAACGCGCAAUUCUAUGUGCUCAAGCAACCUUCGGUGCAAGUUACAGCGAUUAGUUAAAUCAAAAAUUGAUGGACAUAUCAGCAUAAAAAGAAAAAAACAACGUCAUUUGAUACAGAACUCUUAUUGAAUUGCCAUUCCUAAAUGGUAAUCCAUCAAUUUUAAUGCGUGUGUGUUGCGUUCUACUUUUCUACAUUUGCGGCCAAUUCAUUAAUCAGUCAAACUUAAUAAAAAUAAAAGAAAUUAGGAUUAACAAUUAACUUGUCAUUUCAUAUAUUUGAACCCCACCAGUGUAUUUCUAAUAGCAGCAUGACGUAUUAAUUCAAAUAACUAGGUCUAGUAAAGUCGCUAUUGGUAAUUAUUUCAGGUAACUUAAACACGAGUUUAAUUAAAUAUUAUUGAGUGUGUUUGGAUAUAUAGUAAAUUAUUCAGACAAAUUUAUUUGUUUGCAUCACAAAUCAAUUUUUUAAUUAUUUUUUUAUCUCACAUAUCAUAUCAAAAAAAUAUUACAGUAUCUGUUUUUAAAAAAUUAUCGCAAAUAAUUUCUUGUCCAAGCACACUCGUGACAAUUGGAUAAGGAUUAGGAAGCUUAGUGAGACAAAAUGGCUCACAGCUUUCAGUGGAUGUAAUUGUAGGCCAUGCAAUGAAUGAAAGGCAAUGGACAAAUGAUUUUUCAGCGGGGACUUGCUUGCCAUUCCCUCCCGAAAACCAGACCUAAUUAUAUGUAUAUAAAUAUGCUGCUAGAUACGUUCUGAAAAGAUGUUCUACAAUUGUGGCUGUUCCUUUCUAGUCAUAGAUUUUUACUCAAAAUUUUUUGUCCUUGUAACAGGCUCUUUGACUUGAGAGGAUCGGGGCCAUCAGGCAGCGUGGGACCCAUAUGCUGUCUCUCGAGAUGCUUAGAUUUGGCUGACGUGAACAUUUCGAAAUUAAUCACGUCCAUGUAUCCCAUAACCAAUUAAUAUUUUUGGACUCAGAUUCGAGAGUAAACGAAAAGCUUUUAAUUUGCGGUUUGACCGGUUCAAUUUCAGUUCAAAGAUUUAAGCAUUUUUUUAUUUUAGUGUCAAAAAAUUGAUAAAAUUGAAAUAUUUAUUUUAGAACAUAAAAUUUUAAUAAAAAUCAAUUAAACCUUCCAAUUUUUACUGGUCCAACUAAUUCUUGACCAAUUCAAUUGAUUCUCUGGAUUAAUCAUGGAAUCAGACCGAACGCAUGAUCAGUUCCUGAUUCAAUCGAUCGAACCGACUGAUUCAUCUGAUUUUCAGAACAUCGCCUAUAACUUGCUCAUUAGAUUAGUCAGUCAUGACACAAUUACUAGAAGACUUUGUUUAUGAAUUUCAAAACAUUAGUAUUUUCUAUUUUCCUUCCCCUUUUUUGUCGACUGUCCCUUUUGUGAUUGUCUCACAAGCAUAACAGCAAAGAACAAAGGAAUAAUACGCUCGGUAGCUCACUAUAAAAAAUUCCAAGUCGUUACAAUCAUCAAGUUUAAAUGCACCGAAAGUGCUUGUAUUACUCUGCUAGUCUAUUGUAACUAAGUGUACAGCCCGAUCUUGUUUAAAAUUAAAAUUAGUUUCUUAACUUGAUUUACAAGUCUAAUUUUAGUUAUAUAUAUUUUUUCUAAUUUUAAAUAAUCCACGUGUCACAAGCAGAUUAAAUAGUAAUUUAUUUUGUUGGUGGUAUGAAUAACACGAUCUCAAAGAAGAUACGUCAAAAAGAACGAAAAAAAAAAGGGGCUCAUAUCAUAUGGCACGUUCAGAUAAUUUAUUAUUACUAAAUGAGUAGUAGAUGGUGAGCUAGAUAAGUCGGGGUGGUUAAACAGGAAGCGCCAAUCUAAAUGUUUUUUUCCCAAAGCUUCUCAAUCAAGUUUGACAACCAAAAAGAGAGUGGGAAUCUCAGUCAAAAAAAGUCGAAAAGUUUUAUGGCAGUCAUCAUUGAGUAACUUUAUAGAAAGUUCUAUAAAUUGUCCAAUAGUUAAUCACAUCUUGCCAUCUAAAUAAUCAAUGGUUCUUGCCGUCAAAUUUUAAUUAAAUUCUACCCCUUAUGAAAAAGCUUAGUUCACACAAGCCCUACCCCUGUUGUGCAUUUUAAUCAAAUAGUUAAUAGACCCAAAAUUUUGUCAUUUUUUAUCUAUUAACAUUAACCCACGCUGAAAGCCAUUAUUAACGUAUACCCAAAUCCAAUACGAGAUUAAAUCAAUAUUAAAACAAAUAAUAGAUUAACUCAAGCGACAAUUUACUAACAUUCGUAAAAUCACGAGCCAAAUGUAUGCAUAGCUUUUGAUUAAUUGCUGCCUUCAUCUUCCAUGCAGUCCCUUCCAUUGUAGAUUACAUGCAUGGAGUAGAGAGCACUUUCCUUUUUUUCUUUUUUGGAAUUGAAACAGAUGGAGAAUUGUUUUUUUGCCCUUUUUCCCUUUUCUUUUCUUUGUGCUUUGUAAAAAAAAAAAAUUGUAAAAUACGAAAAUCUGAAAGAUUCUUAAUUAAUUGGAAUCAAGUAUUUCUUCUUGAAAUUAAGGACGUACACAAAAAGUCCCUAUCCGAGUUGGUUUUUGACCUCUAGCUAGUAAACUACCACUUCUUUCAAUGAGUUCAAACUAGGAAAAAGAAAGUAUCGUGGCUGCUGAAACAUUAAGUUUGUGCUUCAAAUCCACAGUGAAACAUUAGAGCAAGAUCGAAUGGUACAAAACAAAGUUAGUAAUAAUCAGAUGUAUAUAACAAUAAUGAAAAGUGGCAGACCCUUUAAUAAUAUAUUUGAAGCUUUUUACUAUUCAAUGACCGACUAAAUGUUUAGACUUGUCAACUAGUUGAUCAUUGAUCACGGUAAAGUUUGACAACAUGCAUUAGUCUUAAGUUUACAUGUGCAUAAUGUGAAAACUGAAAAUUCCAUUAACAUAAACUUAAUACUACUUCCUCCUUUUCAAGUCUUAGUGGGAAAUAUAUUUUAUAUACGUAUAUAUACACACACACACACACACACACACGGUUUAAAGUUUCAGUUUUAUGGAGUGUAUUUAACGGCCUUCAAAUGAAUUAAAAAGGGUUUUAGCUAAAUAUGUUUGAUGCUUGAUAACAUCCUUAAUUACAAGAUUACACGUUCGUUAAGAACGUCUCUCGGGUUUUUGCUUUGUUUAAUAGUUAGCCAAAAAUGUACACGACUAACAACACAUUGCCAUAUGAGAUGAACUAGAUUUAUAUAAGCAGAUCGAUCAGUGGACCUACUUAAGAACGAGUAAAAUUCCGCUUGCUGGUGAAGAAUCUUCGGUCAAGAUAGGUAAACAGGGGGGAGCUGAAAAUGGAAAAUGUCCAGUUUGGGUCCACGUAGCAUGAUGAUACUUUUCUUGUCCAGGUACCUCGUCCUCUCGCUGUUUUGCGGUACGACUAAACCAGGUCAACGCAGGUUGUCGCUGCAUGGGAAGAAAGGAAGAAAUACGGUAGAAUGGAACAAGUCCAUAAGACAUGCAGAUCCAGACAACCCAAAACCCUGUUUUAGUAAAACUUGAUACUGCUUCUCCCAUUGUUUUCCUUGCCUCUAUAUAUGAUACCCAAAUCCCAAUUCAUUUCUCAUCUCAUUAUUUAAUCCCGCUACAAUUACCAUUCUCUAGACCUAAGGUUUUCUUGGUCCACUUUCUCCUACGCCAAUUUUCUUGCAGGGCCUGUAACUUCACCUUAAUGCUAUUGGAACCCUUUUCAGACUAACAAAGUCUUUGAGAGCUUAAAAUCCUUCCAAAUACAUUCGCUUAUUGGUGGACGAGUCUUUUAUCAAACAAUGGCUCCUGGUUUAAGUCUUGCAGGUGAACUUGACAGGGACGAUGAGCAAUUAGAGAGCAGAUAUCAGAAAGGAGUUCAAUAUCUCUACGAAAAUAGUAAUGGCAUCAUGAGUAGAGUUCCGACAAAGUACAUAUUGCCUAUCCCAGAAAGGCCGAAUUCGAGGACAGAAGAUCAUUGCAAUGCAAGAAGCACAAAUCUCAACUUGCCUGUUAUCGAUUGUGCUGAGCUACAAGGGCCCGAUAGAUCCCAAGUUAUUCAAUCCUUGGCAAAAGCUUGCGAGGAAUACGGAUUUUUUCAGGUAGCUUUUGGGGUUUGACGUUGGUUUCAGAAAACUAUGGCGUAAACUUAACAGUACUAAUGUUUUUGGUUAACGAUGCAGUUGGUAAACCAUGGGAUAUCAAGAGAAAUCAUACAGAAUAUGAUCGAUGCAGCAAGAAGAUUUUUCGAGCUUUCUUUUGAUGAGAGAGCAAAGUACAUGUCUUCAGAUAUGUUUACACCAGUUCGAUAUGGCACAAGUUUCAACCAAAACAAAGAUAAAGUUUUCUGCUGGAGAGAUUUCUUAAAACUAAGCUGCACUCCCAUCUCAAAUUCUCUCGAAUAUUGGCCAUCUUCUCCUAUAGAUUUCAGGUAUGCGUUCUUUGAUAAGUUAAUUUUGUGAAAUUUGGUACUGCUAAUGAACUAAGCUAGUCCAAUAUUCAAUAAAUACAUUGUGUGUUUCAUCAGUGAAAAAGACCUAUGCACAGACCUUUUUCAUCAAGUGAAACUCCUAAUUCCCUGUCUUUGAUGAUGAUCAGAUUCUACUGUCAUAUAUACUAGAAGUACUAAACAAUUCUUAUGGUUUUCUGAUUGUAGGAAGGUAGCUCUUAACUACGCCAAUCAAACUAAAUCCUUGUACCUGAUGUUAAUGGGUGCAAUUCUUGAGAGCCUAGGGUUGUUGGAGGAACCAGUGGAAGAAGUGAAUGGCAAUCCAAUUCUGAAAGAAUUCGAAGAUGGAAGCCAACUCAUGGUGUUAAAUUGCUACCCUCCGUGUCCGGAACCUGACCUAACCCUUGGAAUGCCGGCUCAUUCUGAUUAUGGCUUGCUCACACUUCUUCUCCAAGACGAGGUUAAGGGACUUCAAAUAGAGCAUCAAGGAAACUGGCUCACAGUUGAACCCGUUCCAAACUCCUUUGUUGUUAAUGUUGGUGAUCAUUUGGAGGUCCGUUCAUCUUAAUUUUAACGUGAUCAAUUUUUUUUCCAAGUUACGUUACCGUACAGCUUGUGGAUUCAUUUGUAUGUCUGCAUUCCGCAAGAAAAAAAAAAUCCCUUUGAAUUAAGGGCAACAAAAGGAGGUCGCAAAGGGGUGAAGGAACCCCUUGGAGAUUUGAUCAAUUGACCUUUUUCCACUAAACUACAUAUAAUUAUACUUGUAGUUCUUCACAUGGGGAAAAAAGUGUAGCGUAUUAGCUAGCAAAGAUUUCUCUAAAUUCUAAGAAUGGAGAUAAUAUUAUUGAAUGAUAGUCCAGCAUUUUAAAGAAGAUCAGAAAGAAAAAGAAAAGGCAUACUCCUCGUAUUACUGGAAUACAUGAAGAAGUUGACAUGGCCUCUACACCUAAUUAAGCCUUUUAUUUACACAGGAAAACCUAAACCAAAACGCCAUUCAGCAAAAAUUGACCCGAAAUGCUUUUAGUUCAUAAGCAAUAUCUUCUUUGGGUUUGCUUUUAACAUUUUAGCAAUGAUUUCAUGUAUUUUACUCUCAAUUUCUUGCGAAUGAAGAUUAAAUCUUGGUCUGUUUUUCGUUUGAUUGGCAGAUAUUUAGCAACGGGAAAUACAAAAGCGUGCUGCAUAGGGUUCUUGUGAAUUCCUCGAACCAUCGAAUAUCUACUGCCUCAUUGCACAGUCUGCCUUUCGAUUGUGUGGUUCGACCAUCGCCUAAGCUCAUAGAUGAAACCAACCCCAGGCGUUAUAAGGAUACAGAUUUCGCUACAUUUCUUGAAUACAUCUCAUCCCGUGAACCCAAGACCAAAAAUUUCCUAGAAUCCAGGAAAUUGAUGUGAUACUCAGAACAAUUUCCAAUUCUCUCCAUCACUCCAAGAAAGAAAAACAGACUAAAGUUUUGAAUAUAGCGCUUGUUACGUAUUAUUCAUGUGCUCAAGAUGAGAAAUUUCUUUUAAUUCCCUUUUUGAAUUGUUUAAACAGCAACGUGCAUUGUUCUGAACUUUUCUUUGUGACCAAGGCAGGGGAAGAAAAUGAAGGAAACAUUUUCACGACUGAUAAAGUCACGGCACUAGCCAUAAACGCUCUUCAUUUUUAGUUUCGUGCACUUCCAAUCGUCACAUAACCGAUGACUUUUCCUUUUUUUUUUUUUUUUGUAAAACAAAUGACCAUUAAAUGAUUUUUUUUUUUUACUUUUUGGUGGAGGAAAUUACUCGAGAAGCCCCAAGUCCUCCAAAUUGACUUAGCUCCUCUCCAAUGGAUUCUCUCUCCAUUUUCACAAUCCACACCUGAAUGUAUAACAUGUGUCUUCAUUUAUUAAUAAAUGUUAGAAUUAAUCAAAUUUAAAAUGAUCAUAUCUCUUUCUAAUGAAUAAAAAUACAUGUCAUACAUUUAGGUUUGUAUUAUGAAAAAUGAAGAAAAAAUCCACUAGAGAGAAGCUAAAUCCCCUCGAAGUCUCAUGCCGAUCAGAAAGGAGGAAAAGGAUAUGUAUAUAAGUUUGAACUCAUGAACUAUCAAAUAACCUAGAUUAAGCAUUUGUGAACUUAAAUCAUUAUAAUCGGUAUAACUUGGACUAGCGUAUUUUAAUUGUGACUAAAUGCUAUAUAGGACUAAGUAUCACAUUAGGUGAGGCAGCUCCAAAACUUGUUCAGGACUAAGUGCCUCAUCAGAUUUAGUAUGAGUAGCGGAUAAUUUGGAUUACGAGAGGUUUUAAGAGUGCAAAGGUCAAGGUCUUGAAUAGGUGAACGAGAAUAAUUUGAAUUGAUCAUUUCAAACUUGUAAUUCAGCUCAAAAGUUAUUUGAAUCACCUCGUAAAUUGAAGGUGUGAUAGGUUAUUUGUGAAGCACAGAGCUAAUCGACUUACUUAUUGAUAAUAAAUAAUAAAUCGUUAAAAAGUGGAAUGCCUGUCUCUAACUAUUUCCUUUCACCAAAAUGAUAGAGUUUCGGUAUUCCUUUUCUUUUCUUUCUUUUUUUUUUUUUGCAAAAAUAAAAUUUCUAGAUACUUAUGUUGGCAUGGACUGCAUAUACAGCCUGUUGCUGAGAUUUGCUAAAUCCUAUAGUCAUGGUGAACAUCGUGCUUUCUAAAUCCUAUAGACAGGUUUAGCAUGAUCCAUUGCUUUUUCUUUUUGUUGUCGAUAUUUUCCUAGAUAGUAUUUUCAGCUAAAGCUAUUUUCAGGAUAGUGUAGGCAAGAAAAUUCAUGCACUUUCUCGAUGAUUGUCUCUCUCAAACACACGCGUUAAAUAGGGGUUAGCUUUCGUGGGGGAAAAUUAGGCUGCAUCUUAAAUUCGAAAAGAAUCCCUUUAUAGCGGAUCGAUUCAUUCGCUUGUUCAGGGCCACAACAUUUGACUACAGAGGUUUUAGGUCGCAAGUUUUUAUUAGUUCCAGAGUGGGCUUGCAGUCAUUCGACGGGUCUUCAGGCUCUGAUGUGGUUUCUGCUGAAGAAUCAAAGGUAUCUUUUAAUGGGAUGCUUCCAAGGAAUCAAUGUUCAGUGUUUUGAAUUUCUCAGUGGAUGUGUUUCUAGAACAUGAUUUUGAAGAAGCUAAGAUGGAAUAAUGGUAAAAAUAUCUUGUUGACAAGAUAAAAAUAAAUAAAUAUUCAAGAGUGUCUAGAAAAGAUAGUAGUACUCCCAGCCUAGAAGAAUAUGGUUAACGCGCGGAUACAUAUUUCACGAAUUAGCCUCAAGAAUUCUCAUAUUAUAGACGGUGAAAUCAAUUAACUCCUGCAUGUUGAAUAAAACCAAUAGAAAUUUCAGAUCCUUCUAGUUAGCACCAAACUCGCCUUUGAGACUACAUAUUUCAAGUCGUUAUCAAUGAUUUUUCUUUUAAUAAGUUCUAUCAUGCAUUUUCUACCGAUCAAACUUUAGCUUGCCGUGUUAUUUAUGUCGAGACAAACUAUGACGGGCCGGAUUGAACAUUUCUUUUCAAUGCUAGACUUUUGUUGCUAUCUAUGAAUGAAUUUGUUAAAGGUUGGUAAGAGGAUCAGCUGUUUCUUCAUCCUCUUCUGUCUCUCAACUGCUUCUUUAAUUUGCUUCUUGGGAUCGCAAGUUGGUAAUUCAGGCUGAUCCAGAUAUCAAAUUCAGAAGAGAGAGGGAUUCCGGAUGCGAUUAACUUUUGCGACGGGAUAUUGUUUCUGCAUGGUUCGAGCCUACCAGCAGAACCUGAUGUUGUUAAGCAUGUUUCAAGGAUGAAAAGUAGCAUCUAUAGUACCACGAUUGAAGAUCCAAUUGUUAGAUAGAAAUGUCUUUGCGGUCACCAUAUUGACCUUUGUGACUACGGACUACCAAAUAUGAACAAGAAAUGUAAUCCAACAGUGGUAAGCUAGCUGGGGUUUCAUUUCUCAAAGAAAAUUACUAAUCAGACAGACUAUAACACCAAAAUGGCAUGGUUCCUUGUCAGAGCACCAUACCGUCAUCUACGCAUGGAAACUUUUGAUUUUUGUCAGAAACUGGACCCAGUUUAAAGAUGUGAAACGGAACGACCAAAAUUAAAUGGAGAGCUUUAAGGGUUUGGUUGGCCUCUUCAAGUAGCAUUUUUCUACAUGAUGACUCUAAACAAUGGGGUCUAAAUUAAUAUAAUAUCACUCGUGACUUUCUGGAUGCAUUCAACUACAAGCAAAAGAAAAUCUAUUUCAGAGAUGUAAUCUAGUUACUUUUUGCUCGAUUAAAGUCUUAAAAUAUUGGAUAUACACUCAACAAAACGUAUUAUCUGAUCUUUUGGAGACUUGGUAAAUUGAUUAAUUGAUCUCCAUAUCUAUACAUUUUCCUCUUCAUGUUUUGCUACGAAAAACGCUCAUAGCGUCACGACUCGAGUCCAAAGGCUGGCUCAAGUAAUUUUUGAAUCAAAAUUCACUGACCCAAAAUAGUUAACCCAAAUUAUCUAAUAGCUCAAGGAUCCAAGUUCUUAUAUCUUUCCUUUCCUUAUUCCCACCACCGAUGUGGGAUGCCUCAUUCUCCCCAUCUUUAGGAUUUUGCAUCCUCGCAAAGGACGUCAGAAUUCAAAUUAUACGAGCUAAACUAUUCACUAGGUUCAAAUUAUACGGACUCUAGAGGUGACUCCCGUCCGACGUAACACUUAGUCUCACAGAUCCUAAAGGUAGCUCAUGUCAAACGUGGCAUUUAGCUCAUUGCACGGAACCAUAAUCCGCUAGUCCAAGCUCACCCUGUCGAGUGGAGCACUUAACUCCUUGCACUCCCUUGCAUGGUCAAAACCAUAACCCGCUAGCUCAAUCUUACCCCACGCAGGUGAGCACUCCCUCGCAUAGUCAGAAUCAUAACCUACUGGCACAAGCUUACCCCACGCAGGUGGUCCUCGUCGAACGUGGCACUUAGCUCCUUGCACUUCCUUGCAUAGUCAGAAUCGUAAUUCGCUGACCCCGUCGAAUGGGGUUAUCCGCUGGCCCAAGCUCACCCCGUCGAACCUUGCACUCCCUUGCAUAAUCAAAACCAUAAUCCGCUGGUCCAGAUUCACCCCAUGCAGGUGGUCCAAGAAUCGUUAGGGUUCAACUAUUAUGACCUGGAUCCGAGAGUUGGCCCAAGUAAUUUUUGGACCAAAAUCCACUAGUCCAAAAUAAUUAACUCAAUUUACCCAAUGACAGAAGGGGACACAAGUUCUUAUACUUUUCCUUUCCUUUUUUCCACCACCGAUGUGGGAUACUUGAGGUAGCAAGAGCUUUUGAUUAAGACUCAACUUGCCAAAAUUAUAAAAACAGUUAACAACCUUACCUAUUAUCAAAUAACCCUAAAGACAUCUGCCAGCAAAGCAGAUAUAUGCAUAGAGGAACCCCAAUCCAUAUUGAUGAAGAUCAAUACUGUUUAAAGUGUUUACGAAGCCAGGUUACCUCAUCUGUUUAGCCAUAGUAGACUCGCCUAGAGUGAAGAAUGAGAUUGUAUCCGAUACCAAAAACAGGAGGUAAAGUCACAUUCGAAACACCUUUGUCUACAACAAAAGCUGCACCAGGCAUCAUCAACCACUCCCCAGUCCCCAUUAAUGUAAUCUAUCCUGCUUGGUAGCCACAGAUCAAAUUGACCACCUUAACAUGUCCAAGAAGCUCAGAAAGGCACACACCCACUCACAGUUGCGCUUCAAUUCAUAUAACUUAGCAAAAUAGGACAAAGAAAGAAGAAAAAAAACAUUACGAAAUGUAUAAUAUCGAGUAUUCAUAGUAUUUGAAAAUUAUCUCCUCCCGGUGCCCUCUUUUUGAGUACCGAAAUAUAAUGUAAUCCAACAGUGAUAAGCUAGCAUUCAAUUUCACAUAAAAUUUAAUUAAGACAAAAUAUAACACUAACAUGGCAUGGUCUCAUGUUGCAAUAUCAUGUCGCAGCUUCAACCCAACGUGCAAACUUUGAUCUUUGCCAAAAACUGAACCAGCUCAAAGAUGUCAAAACCGAAUAAUCAUAAUGGACAAAUUUGGGGGCUUGAUAUCUGGGUGCAUGCAAUAUAGAUACAGAUGAUAACUCUUAAAAGAUUGGUUCAAUAUAUAGCAAAAUAUCACCCAUGAUCGAUAUUUGGGUACGUUCAGCUAAAAGCGAAAGAAAGUCAAUUUUAGAGAUGUAAACUAGUUGAUUGAACUCGAUUAAAUUCUUAGAAUGAUGGAUAUAUACUCAAUGAAAUAGAUUAUCUCAUUCUAUCCUUCGUCUUUUUGCUCUAGGAAAAGUUUUUUUCCCUCCCAUUUCCACAUGCUAUGCAAGAACAAUGAACAUCUUCUCCGCUGUCUAAUGCAAUUAUGCAACUUGCUGGCUCCGUAACACCUCCCCCCCCCCCUCUCUCUCCAAAAUUUUUUUCCGCCAUUAUCAAUAACAACACAGUUGGAUACAUAAAUUUGGCAACAUGGGUGGGGAACUCAAAAGGAUAUGGUGUCAAUGUAGGAGAUGAAGACACGAAAUAGGAUAUGGUUGGAGGCACCCAAUCGACUCUCCAACUAGUACAACAAGUUGUCCAAAAGGGAGGAGGAAGAAAUCUGUAAAUAGGGUCGUCCUCCAAGCAAUUCAGCACAAAGCAAAUCAAAGAGAGCAGCAGCACUGUUCAUAACUGCUGAACCCGCCAGCCAAAGUUCUCUAAACUCCAAUUGCGGUUAGCACCAAUGGCUUACAGUUAUCGUAACUUCCUCCUUCUCUUUGCAUUCCUCCUCGUUUCAACCACAACUCCAUAUCUCAUGGUCUCCUCUAUAACGGACAGAAUGUAGCUGCAAUUGUGGUGAAGGGCGUCUUGGGCUGCAACUCAACCGGAAACCCUACACCAGGCUGCCUACCCCUCGCAUCCGUACCUGUUACUUUUUCCUGGGUCUUCGUUGCCGGUUUUCCAUACUACAACUUUUCUGAUGGAUCCUUUAGUUUCCUUAUAGCUGAUUUAACAGCCGUAGCAGCCUUGCCCCAUGGAACUGUACUGGCAGAACUCACUGCGGCUGUUAACCUGAAUGCCGUGACCAAUUGUGCUGCUUUACCUUCCACAGGCUAUCUCAGGUCUCCAGUUAAUAAAAAUUCUGCAUCUACUAUCCAAGGAUCGGCCACAGGAAUUACGCUUGCUGUCGUUGUUUCAGGGUUUACUUAUUCAGCUGCUUGAUUCCUAAUGCAGCUGCUUCGGUGUUUCGUCUCUCUUGUUUAUCCAAGUUGAUGAUUUGUUUCGUUGUUUUUAUUUCAUUUUUUCUUUUGCUAUCAUCGCCAAUGUUGUGUUUUGUUACCAAUAUCUCGUUGUUUCCAUAUUGACUGAAGCGUGUAAUCGCGUUUUUAGUGAAAUCAAUAAAUUGCAAUUUCAUUAUGUAACUGGCUAGUUAGGUGAUUUUGUCAACAACAGAAUGAGUGUUUCCUUCCAUACGGAGGUCCUAUUCUGGUCAAGAUUUCAAUCAUAAAAACUGUUGGCGUACUGAAUAAACCAAUGUUUUUAAAAUCGGACCGUUAAUUGAACCGGUGAAGUGAAAGGGUCGAGAUUCAACCGGUUGGACCGGUUCAAUCUCGGUUCAAUGAAUUUUUAAAAAAAUAAUUUAUAUAAAUAUAUAUAUGCACAAAAUAAGACAUGUAAUGGAUAAUUUAAUACUUUAUAUGAUGAAAAGUUUACUAUUUUCGAAUAACUUGGAUUUUUAAAAAUAAUUUUUCUAAAUUAUAAGUUAAAAACAAAUAAAUUUUAUCUCAAUUUCAAUUAUAUCUACCAAAAAAAUCUUAAAUCCAAUCCAAAAAUAUCACAAUAUUUGAAAUUAUACAAAAUUCACGUCUAUGAGAAUUUAGACAUUGUGAACUUAAAUUUUAAUUUACGUUUUGAAAUUUAGAUAUUGCAAUUUAAAAAAGGAAGUUUGGAGUUCGAAGGAAAUCAAGAGAAUCGAAAAUAGAAAUACAAAUUUGAUGAGAAACUAAAAAUGAGAUAAAAGUGAGUGGUUGUGGCAUUAAAUAAAUUGGGUUAAAGAAAAAUAAUUCUUUUUUAACUUUUUUUAAUUUAAUGGACAAAAAUAAAAUUAAAAGAUGGAAGAAAACAUCAAUAAAUUAAAAAUAAAGAGAUUUGAUUAAAAAAUAAGUGGCAAAAGAAAAGAUGAGAGAGAGAGAGAGAAAGAGUUGAAGAUAAAAAAAAAAGAGCAAUGAGAGGAUGAGAUUUUAUAAGGAAAAUGAAACAAAAGAAAUAUGAAUGUUUGUUUUAUAUAAAUAAGUUAUAAAAAAAAACUAAUAAGAUGUGAUGGUACAACGGUUACUACAUUGAUCUUCUAUUACAAAGAUCUUGAGUUCAAAUCUUGAUAAUUGCAUUUUGCAAAAAAAAAAAAAAAAAAAAACUUGAAAAUCAGAAAUGACCGGUUCAAAUCCGGUUCGGCGGUUUCGCGAUCCAAUUGGUUUUUGACCGGUUUCUUGGCAAAGUCAACCCUGCAUUGAACCGGACCGGUGCCAUGGCCGGUUCGCGGUUCAACCGGUCGAACCGGCCGAUCCGGUCUGAUUUUCAAAACACUGGAAUAAAGACUGUGGAUGCAAAUGCAAUUCCACUAUUCCUUGUCAAGAUACUUAAAUAUUCCCCCAAAUAUCACAUCACAUCCUACCGAAAUGGGAACAAAAUAUAUAAAUAAAUAAAACCGUAUGGGAUAGCUUGAAAUCCUAAACAGUCGGUAUAUGCUCAAUACACUAGUACUAUUCCAAAGGAUUUAUGCACUUGAACCAGAUGAAUGUCCUCCUAGUAGACUUGUAUAGGCAGAUAAGGUACUACUUUUCCGGGGUUAUCUUGAGAAUGAUAGUAUAAAAGAACCAGAAAGGACUGAAUUCAUGCUAAGUGAUAUUAACAACGCUAUAAAACAGCCAAACGACUAUUCUUGUCAUGUGAAUCUCUAGUGACUGGUAGUUUAAGACUUUGCAUGCAUGCAUGUAUGCCCACACUGAUAACCAUCCAAGCACGUUUUCAAUGUAUGAAUGAGUUGUUCCGUUUAGUCUCCAUUUCCUGUAUAUACGACUUACCACGCUAGAAUCAGAAAAGGUGAAAGAAACACCUUAGUCGCUAAAAUGGCCAACUUCUUUCAUUUUGAAAAAUUAACUAACACGAAUUAAGCUUCCCUCUUUCUUGUUUCAUUUAGAAAAGUUGGUUUAAAUUGAAGUCCAUACAAGUAUAGGUAUAUAUCUUCGGACAUGUCGGCUACUCUAAGGUGAGGUAGAUGACAAUAUAAUGUCACUGGUUAAGCAGUGAAACGAAAACAAAAUAUUUGGUACUAAUUGCCGCAUUAACGGUUUCAGGUUGGGUACGUGUAAUAUUAACUAACAUGAAUCAAGUACGUUCUCUCUACAUCUUCACCUGAUAUGCACUCUAAACUACUCCAUCUAAAUAUGAAGACAGAUUUCCCGAAGAAGGAGUUGCAUCAAAAUAUCUACAAAAUUCCCCAAGAACUAUCCAGAAAAUUUUCAUUAAAUUUCGCAUAAAAAGUAACCAUUGUAGGUGAAGAACCAACUGUUCAGCUUUUACCUAGAACAAUACAUCAAUCCCCUAGGAAGAACUAAACACUCCUACUUAAUUUCUACACAGAUAUGCAAGAUUUACCCCUUGGCUUUGAUAACUGAUAAGCAUAAUGGAGAACCAAAACUCCCUGAAACGUUUAGGUAACUUGCGUGGUUCUGAAUUAGUUCAAUAAGUAUGUAAAUCGUGUGGAGAACUUUUGCAGAUACUGGAGCUACGUACGGCCACUACAAGGUAUGCAAAGAAAAGGAAUGAAGCAGAGAAUAAAGCUAUCAAAGUUUCUUUGAAGGCUAGUGCUGCUUUUUCUGCUUUAUUGGAAUGCUUGGGAUGCCACUCCACAUUUCAUAGUAUCCAAAGACAAGUUACAUUUGAAACUUACGCGGUAAUUUACCUGUCCAGCAUUAGAUAUCCGAUUACGAUAAUAGUGUAAAUAAAAGCAUGUUACAAGUUAAACAAUGAUAUGAAUUUUGCGGUACAACCAAAUGUUUAAAAAUACAGAAGUUAGUGUCAAUUGUUGUAUUAAGUGACAAGAUUACUCUCCAAAGCUAGUUUAAUAUACAUACAUACAUACAUACAUAUAUAUAUAUAUAUAUAUAUAUAUAUAUAUAUAUAUAUACAUACAUACAUAUAUGCAAGUUUUUAUAAAUUGAACAAGGUUUCUUCAAUCGUGUGCCCUCAGUGUACCAAAUAUAGGGAUGGGCACAAUAUAAAUAUCAGAUAUUAUUAUCCACCCUUGAAUUAAGAAAAUUUUAGUGAAGAAAUUUUAAACUUUUGUAGACAACUAAAUGUCAGCCUCACGUCUUAUCGGCUAAUUGCUUAGUUUAUAGGUAAAAAAAAAAAAAUUUCGCCAAAUACACCUCUGACAUGGACUUCUUCUUAUUCUAUAACGUGCCGUGUUGAGUCAGCACGGCACCAAAAUUAAAUUUCGCACAAAUCAAAAAAAUGUUAGUAUGUUCAGCCUUGUGUCGUCGGGACGUGCACAGUCAGCACGUCCGCACUGACACAAGGCGGACAAACACUGCUAUUGCAUCAGUCCGAGCCGUGCUGACUGUGCACGGCCUGGACUGUCCUCAUUUUUAUGUGGUCUUAUUUUUUACUCUCUCUCUCUCUGGGGAAGGAUAUAGCCAUCAAACAUGUUUCUUUGUUUCUUGACUUUCACUGUCCUCAUUUCAACUCUUUCAACAAAACAAAGAAGAUAGAGUAUUAAAAGAGUGCCCAGGAUAUUAAUGUAUUAUUAUUAAUGGGUCGCUUGGUGUAAGAUCAGAAGAAAAAUUUCUAUAAAUCUUUUGUUUGGGGUUAGGUGGCAAGUCCUUCAUCAAAUACGACAAUUCUUCAAGCUUCUUGUCAAUUUAGGCUUUUAUAUAUGCAUCUUAGAUAGCUCCAUUCUCAUUCCUACCAAAAAAAAGAAAAUCCUAAUUGUAGCUAGGCAGGCUUCCAAUUAUAGGUCUUCUCCCCGUAUCCUUUUUUUUUUUUUCUCAUUUCAUUUUUCUUCGAUAAUUACACACCAAAUCCCACAUGUAUAAAAGCCACAACACCUCAAAUUGGGAUUUCUGUUGUGUUGACGUAAUUAUGCCAGUCUUUGCUGCUUGUUCUUGCUUAUCAAGUUUGGACAAUUUACCAAAGUUUUGAACUUGAAGAAGGCUACUAAAUUAAGAUUAGGCUUACCUUGUUCAAAAAAGUCAAAAUCAGGUUUCAGUAAUUUGUUGUGUCUGUCUUAUCAAUCGUAAUUUAUAGUAAUUCGUUUAGAAUAGAAUUUUCCAAACAUAAAUGAAUGAUCUUUUGAGAAUCAAAAACUAAAUUAAGCCUUGUUUAUUAAAUAAAUGAUUGCUUGUUUUAUGCGUGCAAUAUGCUAAAGCAGACAAAAUAUUUUUUAUUUCCGAGUACAUUUGUUUUAUUUACGCAAUGCUGCCACGUUAAAUGUUGAGACUCAAACUUUUCCCCAGUUAUUCAGUGCUACUAGGGAAAAGCUCCAUUACCUAUUUCUCAAAAAUAAAUAUUUUCAGGCGUCAAACUUUGGCUAAUUGCUUAGUUUAUAGGUAAAAAAAAAAAAAAAAAAAAAAACAUCCGCCAUAUGCACCUCUGAAAUGUUUUAAAGUUGGGUUUUUAGAUUCUUAGGUUUUAGAGUUAGGGUUUUUGCGUUAAUGGUUUAGAGUUUAGGUUUUUGAUGUACAAUAUAAUUGAAUAUAAGUUAUGAAUUGCGUGAUUUUAUGUGUUCCUUUCAAGACAUGCGAAAUAGUAUUGCUGAUAGCUUGUACCACAUGCAUUAAAUGUUGUCCCCUAGUGGUUGUUUAUCUAAAACUCCAUCAAAUAAAUACAUUUUAUUUAAGUCAGAAAUUUUAAAUUCAGAAUCUCCUAUAUAUAAUUUAUUCUACCCAAUCCUCUCUCUCGACUAAAUACUUGAUUAAUUAACCUUUAGAAAAUGGACACGAUUUUUGUUAGCGUCGGAAAAGGGGCAGUAGAACAGAAAAUUUGAUCUACGUAAUAGAGUCGUUAAGAUGUGCAAUUUAAUACUGCAAAUCGUUUUUGGAGGUAAGACAGACUCUCACGUUCGCAAAAAUGCUGGUAGCUGUAAUUGUAUCAACUCAGCCGAACUCAGCUUCUAUAUAUUGUUACCGCAGUCGUAUGAAAAUCUUCAAACUACACGAGAACUUCUAUCAUAUCAAGUAACGACCACAAACAAUGGCUAAAUAAAGAAUGAGCCUGAAAUUAACUACCAGGUAACAAGCAAAAACUAUGGCUAUUGGCUAAAUAAAGAACGAGCCUAAAAUUAUACUCACAUGAAUACCCACAAUAUUGAUUCGCUAAUCAACAAUUGAGACCGCUUGAGGGCACCUACCAACCGGCUUCAAAUCCAUGUCAAGUUCUCGCCAGUUAUCUGAUAGUGGAAUUCAGCAGCAAGUUUGAUGUUCAAUCUAACAGGUCGACGAUCAAACAAGGCCUUGUUUUAUUCCAGACCACCCAGCAAGCGGGGCCAAUUUUGAAAAAAGAUAGUGGUAAGAUAUUGAUCAGCUUCCAAUUAACAGAAGCCGAUCAGUCCCUCUGUUUUAUCUUGUUUGCUGUAUCACCACACUAAUAAUAACCUUUCGCUGAUUUGGAAGUUCAAAGGGAGAAGAGAAGCGGCGAGCAGAGAUUUUACGAAUUUUUUUGGGAUUUUAGAGAGGAAAUGAAAUCAUCUACACACAGAUAAACAACUAAAUUUUACUUUUAGUAGCUUAUUAAGGACAAGAGCGGCAUUUUAAAAACUUUACAAAACCUUCCUCUCUUGACACGUAGAGGAGUUACUUUCCAUCCCUCUCUUCUUCGCAUAUCCACAAUUGCCAAACCAAAGCUUAACUCCUUCCUUGUAAGAUUGUGCUUGGAUGAGCACUGAUAACGCCAAGAUUUAUCUUAAAAUAAAAUGGGCUUGGCUUCUAAAACCAAAAGUUGUUUGGCGGGAUGCUGUCUCCUGCAGCCGUGAUGGAUAACUUCCUUCGACCCUAAUGAAUUCAAGCAUUUGUUUUCCUUUACGAGAACCGCAAGUCCUACAACUAGAGGGCUCUUACUUUAUAAAGAGCAAUUUCAUUACUUCAGACACCAUAUCAAAUCUGAUAUCAGCUUUGAAAAAAUGGAAGAUCAAGCAAGCUGCUAAUUGACUGAUGAACUCCUUUAAGUUAAUUUUGCUCGCAAAGCUGGGAAAAUUCUGCCCGCUUUACAGAAAGUCAAAGACAGUUGCACACCAGCCAUCAGCUUCUAUCUGAUGACAACCAAAAGUUGUAGUAGAUAUGCUAUGCGGUCACAGGCAAACAGGACGGAGAAAAACAUAUAAAAGAAUAUAUCUUAUUUACGAAUGAAUGAAGUAGAAGAAGAUGCCAUUUGUCAUUCCAACUAUACAAUGCUGAGCAUUCCACAAAUAAUCAGAAGGGCGGUGCAAACUACAACACAGAUAACAACCUGUAGAGCUCCGCAAAGGCAGCAGGCCGAUAAAUGGCUCCCUCAAACUGUUAUAACUCGGAACAAUUAAUUCCUAUUAUAUUUUUUACAGUAUAGAGUAAGCUCGGAUCACCUCAACAAUAGGUGCCCGGCAUA